UUUUUUUUUUUUUUGUCCCCAAUAGAAAAGGAAACUACUUCUUACUUUCCUGUUAGAAUUUAAAAUGUUAUCUAAAUUCUAAAAAUUUGUGAAAAUAUUAGAUGUGAACUUACGUGCAAAUAUUCAUAGGUUGAGAAAGUUUCAAAGCGCUUAUUGUUAAAAGUAAUCAAAGUGCGUGAGCCACAAGAUUUAAAUAAGUAAAAAGUAAAAAGCAAGAGUCUCUCUAGAUAAGCGAAAAUAGCAUUUUGAUUCUAGAAGGACAAAAGGUAUUGAGCCAACCAUACUUCGCAGCAACAAACUCAUUUUGAUAUAUAAUCCACUGGCUAGAUCGAGACUAUUAAUUGCUGGAAAAGUGGUUUUUGGUUUCAAAUGGGAACGAGACUUGGUAAGACGAAAUAGAGCACUUAUAGUGAAAUCAUCUGUGAGAAAAAAGACACCAUGUUCGUUGACUCGAAUGGUAAUCUCGCACGAGCUUUCGAACCAGUCAAUUUUGGGGGAGGGGGAGAGAGCGUGGAUAGACCGAGUCAAUGGAGUGUUCGGCUGGAUAAACCAAUAUGAUUCCUGCCUUUAGAAAACAUUAGAGUUCCACACAAGCAAGAAAGAUCUUCUUAAGAAGAACAUUGAAAAAGGAAAAAUGCAUCUUGUGAACGCAUGCGUAGGUUAACAUUCAAAACAGAGAAUUCAUUUUGACAAUGGUGUUGCUAUGAUCUUCGACAUCGACAUCAAUUGCAACGUUAUUCGCGAUUUUGGAUUUUUGUUCAAUGCAUGCCAAGGCUAGGUGCAUCAGCUGCAUGUACCAUGCAUGUAUCUAAACAUCAUAUUCAAGCCACUUACGGUGCAUUUGCUUAAGUUCUUGGAGAAAGUUUUUGGGAAAAUGCAAAGGCUUUAAGUUAAAGGGGUUUUAUGAAAAGUGAAUAUUGUUCGGUAAAUGGAAAUUAAAAAGCGCCUUGAGAAGUAACUUUAAGAGAUAUACUAUUUCGUAAAAACACAUUUGAAAUGUACUUUGAUAUGAUUAAUUUAAUUUUUAAAGUUUUUAGUUUGCUUAAAAUUGGAAAAAAAAAACAAUUAUAGCAAUUUUUAUGGUUUGAAUGUUGAAAGCAAUGCAAAACAUUGAUAAAAUUAUAAAUGCAAAUAAAAAAAAACAUUUGAAAUGUACUUUGAUAUGAUUAAUUUAAUUUUUAAAAAUUUUUAGUUUGCUUAAAAUUGGAAAAAAAAACAAUUAUAGCAAUUUUUAUGGUUUGAAUGUUGAAAGCAAUGCAAAACAUUGAUAAAAUUAUAAAUGCAAAUAAAAAAAAUCACAUUUACUUUUCAGUUAAGUAAUAUGAAAUGUUUCAAUAGAGUAUUGAUAUGAGCGAAACCCAUGAAUUGAUUGAUUCCUUUUCAAAGGUUUUUGAGAAUUUGCCCAGUCAAUUAGUAAGUGAAAUUGCUCCAUCAUCUUUUUGGCAUUUUUGUAAUUUAAAUUCAUAGCAUUGCCACGGGUUAUAUAUACUCAACUUUAUACUUGUGGGAUGUGUACAUAUUUCUGAGACAAACCUUGAGCUAAUUGAUGUUAUAUUCUAUGCACAAGACAAUCAUCUCAAACAGAACUAUUUGAAGGUAUAUCAGGCAAAGGCGAAGACCAGAGGUCCACUGAUCGGUCACAUGGACAAAUAACUUUGUAUUUUCUAGAUGAAUUGAGGACUUGACUUCAAUCAAUUGUACAAUACAUAGGAGAUGGAAAUGGUCUAGUCCAAUUGCAUUCAUUCCCUAACAAAUGCAGCUCGAAACUCAUUUAGACCGAAAAAGAUGCAACAAAAAAACAAAACAACAAAGAUACAGACUCUUUCACAUAUCCGAACAAGGCAAACCAAGGAUCUGCUCCUAUAUGACAGCAAAGCACUCCUUGAUGGCUGGCUUCAUGGACUUCUCCCCAGACUUCCAUUCAGCCAAGAAAACCUCGUCGGCAUCAUCCUGCACGUACUGCAAGGCCUAUGAAAACGAAAAUUCACAAUGGUGAAUAUGAUAUAUUUUCAGCCAAUUGUGUAAGAGUGACCCUUAUUGCAUAUCAUAAUGGAGAUGAACUCGGCUAGAUGCAGAGGCGCCAUAAUCAAUUGAUUCGUCUAAAACAAAACAUUUUUUUGUAUCUUUAAAGGUAAUUAAAACCAUCAACUACAGCUAUUACACCUCUUGAAUUGUUCUAUAUUGAAACAGGGUAUGCACAACAUGAAACAAGACCAUUAAAAAUGAAUACAAGUGCCCAUGAAUUCAGCAUCGGGGAGGAAUGUAAUGGAAGAAAGUAAGCAUCAAAUUGAAAGAUCCAUCUACCAUUACAAGAACAUAUGCGAAGUCCUAGAAAAAAGUCCCAUUGUGCCAAAAAGAGAACAUGCUCACCAAAUUCUAAUACAGCCUUCAAGAAUUCUUAUAUCAAAUUACUAAAUGGAACAUAGCAACAUUAAUGAACAAAAGACCAAUCCUAUUGAUUUCCAGAAAUCUUAACAAAAUCUACCUGAAAUUAUAUGGGACAAGAGUUCCUAAAAAUGCAGAGGUAAACUUGACCCAAAAUUUCAUACAAAAAAAUCUCUCAAAUUUUUACAACCCUCCUUCAAAUUAAAAGGGAAAAAAACACAUAGAAAACAUUACUGCUAUGAAGUUUCUAAAUUUACCACUACAUUGGAUAAAAAAUGAAAACCUCUAGCACUUAGGACACCUAAAGACAUGUGCAACAACCAAAUUUAUCUAGUCAAAUGAAUGACUUAUAGAGCAAAGUCCGGACAUGAUUUAACACAUGCCACUAUUAAAGGAAAGAAAUUCACUAUAUGCUUCAAGGAAAAAAGCACACAAGCAGCAUCCUUCAUAAUGAGAAGACAGUAUGAGGGCAUGAUGGCAUUAUAUGAUUUACAGCUGAACUUUUCCUCACAAUGGAUUGGCUAUAAACAUCAUCGAGAGCCCUCGUGCCUUGUUGCACAGUGUCAUAUUUUCUUCAAGAUCUCAAUCUCCAUAACCCUUCGAAAAGUAUCAUCUUUAAGGAAUGUAAUGGAGUGUCACGUGGUGCUAACCUAGGUCUCCUCUACAUUUAUUACACAUUCGUGCUCGUAGUAUGAAGAUCCUUAAACACUAACCUGAUAGUCUAACUGAACUUCAAACGUAAUGUCUAUGGUUUCCCUCUACCAAAUAUCAUUCUAUUCAUACAAGACAAACCUCUAAAUGCCUUCCCUAUUCCUGUGCUGUUAAACUAAGAGUUUUCUAAGAACUCAGCUCAUAUGCAAAAUUAAGAUAAGUACUAUGUUCUGCAGCAAAUUUCCAUUCGAUACAGCUCUGGGAGAGAGCAAUAUUGCAUAUGACAAUAAAAGAUCGUACAAAUGCCAUGGACGAAAAACCAACAUGUCAUCAACACUAGACAACAAUCAAAACUAGGAAAUUUAACAUGUCUUGUAAUUGAAUGGAUCCAUAUUCCAAACAACAUGCUCUUACAAUUUUUAAUGGAUGGGAAAAGAAAAGGAGCAAAAACAACAAGUUUCUGACUAAAGAAGUGCCUAAUGUACCAACAGAGUUCAAUACAAUUCAACUAGAGAAACAAGUCAAUAUGAUAAUCUUACAGGAAAUAAUGUUUUAUAUUCUCAACCUUCUCUUUCCCAAGAAAAACGGUAAUCAAUUGAUUGCCAUUGCAAUUUUGACUUAAAAUAGCCAAUCAAACCAAAUCGUGUCCGAGCUAAAUCAAAGGUAAUUAAAUUGCCAAUUGAGUUGAGUUGGACAUUAGCGGCAAAGAUUAGUGGUGAAAGUGAAGGUACCUUGUUGAUGGAGCACCAAAAAGAGAGGAAGCUGUCGCAAUAGAAGUUGCGCUUGUGCUUCUGCUUGAGGUGCUUCGCGAAGGUGACAUUCCAUUUCUUCGAAGCUCUUGUGAUUGUUGGAUUUGGGAUGAAGAAAAAUUCUAGAGAUUAUUUUGGGCUUGGAGCCCAAGGGAAGGCUCCAAGGUCGUCACACCCAAGGCGCAAUGAUGCCGGGGUCACGCGAUCUCGACGAGCCUCACAACAACAAAUCUAGAGCGACGGUACAACCAUUAACUAGGCGGUUGGCAAGGGCCAUCGACCAAGCAAUCAAAGGCGACCAAGCGAGCGAUAUGUUUCUAGCGAGAUGCAAGGCGAAUGACAAGUGCAAGCACGCUAGCAAAGAGAGGUGAGAGAAGAGAGAGACAGAUCUGAGGAUUUUUAUGUUAAAAGGGGUAAAUGUGGAAUUAUGUUUAAUGAGCAAGGAUAAGAUUGGAAAUUUAAAAAAUUCUUUAAUCCAAAUCUAUUGCAUGCCGAAAAAGCCAAAAUACCAAAGUAGGUGGGAGGGGACCUUGAGUUAAAGGCCUUGUAGAGGCCUUGGGAAUGCUAGCAUUGGCAAAAUGGGCUCUAAAAAUUCAAUGCCAAACACACUAGCAUUCGGCUAUGGGUCUUUAGAAGCCUAAGGGGCAUUGCAAGGCUGCUGCCAAACACAACCUUAGUCGACUUCAUUGUUGAGCUAGUUGGUGUCGCCCAUGCUCGACCAAGUUCAUGAGCAUUAUCUCUUACUUAAGAAAAAGCGACUCGAUUUUGGGCCUGGUGGAGCGUUUACAAAUCGCGUAGCUGUUAGUAAUGCAACAUGCUAAAAGCUGCCCCAAGGUAUCGAGUCCUCUGGUGUUUUGGAUGUAGCAGACUAUUGGAUACAAAUAAAGGGCCACCAGUUUCAUGAACAGUAGUACUAGCACUGUGCCAAGUGAAACACUAAUUUUUAGUGCUAGGCCAGUUUGUUUACACUCAAACAAAAGGUAACCUUUUUUCUUUCUUAUCAAAAUCUAAAAUUUUAUUAAAAUAUUACAAAACUUUUUGGUCUUUCGGAUUUAAACACAAUCAAUUUCAGGAGCUUCGGAAUUUAGGAAAAAAAAAUUGUCGAAGAGCGCGAGCGGCCCAUGUUUUGAUACAGCAGACAACUAAAAGUCAUCAAUCAAGGACAUGCCAUCAUCCAACAACAACAUCGACCAAGUCUUGUCCCAUUAAACAAGGUCUGCCACGAAGAAUCUUCCCAUGUCAUUUUGUAAGAUCUAAAUGAUCAGCAUGCCAUAAAUUGUGAAGUACGAUGCCUUGAGAGAUGACUCCAAUGUCCAAAACUCUUAACAUUAAAAGAAAGAAAGAAAGAAGGUAAAACUCAGAUUUUACCAGGCCAGAACAAAUGCUUCCACCGCCAAGUGUAUUUUCUAUUGGUCUCAUACUAAACCACAUGAUUCUAUCGACAGGUUAAAUUAGCCAAACCAAAAGGUUUCAUCCCCUCUCUCUUUUCAAAUGAAGCCUCAGAACCACAGAACUUCUCGCCUUGAUUCAUCAAGAACAACUGUCAUAUGCUAAAUUUUUGCAGCAAAUAAACUGAGAUGAUUUACUUGAGCGUUCCAGAAUGAUGAUAUGAGUUCGAAAAGAUGAAAAAUAGAAAGCCGUUAGUAAAGGAAAAAAGGACUAAAGUGCGCAAGCAAUUUACUCCUUUUUCAUUAGAGCAUACACUGGAUAAGUAGCCGAACGUACAUAUACAUAGUAUGACGCAAUGGUUGCACAACAACUAGAAAGAACAGAGAAAGGAAGGAGGAGCUACAUUAAUAGAAGUAGAUGUAGUAUAAUGCCUAAUCCAUCUAUGCAGCGUGUUAUGACCAGUCUAAACUCGUUUCCAGAAGAAAAGAGCUGUAGCAAUAGAUGGUCGAUGGUACUGGAGAAAGAAGCGCUGAUGUUUCUUCUGCCGUCAUGAUUAUUUACACAAUCUAUUCUUAUCAUCAGUAACUGCAGAAACAAAAGGACAAGUAGAUGAGAGGACGAAUGCAUAUCUAUCAUCCUUAGUUGGGUCGGGGACUUUGAGAAACAAAUUCUUAAAGACAGUGAAAAAAAGAAAGAGGCUAAUGGGAUGUGUAUGGGAAAAAACCCAAAUGAUCAAUCAAACCAAGUGAGGCAUGCAAGAAAAUGAAGCUGCAGGAACAACCAUAACACCACGGACCUAAACUAGCUCAAAUAUUGUGUAAUUAGAAUCAAAAGACUCUGUUAGCCAAGUGCCCCACACCGUCAUUCACCAAGAUGUGAUGCAACUUCAGGAAAAGAAAACAAACGGAGGGCCACAAAGAAGCUUAACCAAGAAACUUGAAACGGAUGUCAUGGAAUCACCUCUCUACAAAGCCAUUUCUGCCUGCAAGGCAGCGAGCUCAUCAUCCUCAGGCGUGUUCUUCACUGGCUGAGGACGUGACGGCUGCUUGACUGCAGGAGCGUGCACUGGAGCAGGGGGAGCAGUUGUGGUAGGCUCGAGAAGCUGGUCCUCCAGCUCAGCCCCUUCCAAUUCUUCGAGCUCCGCUUCCAGUUCAUCCUGAUAUAGCAGUCAGAAUUUACUUUAGCCACAAAUAUUCUAUCAAGAACUUGUUUAAAAAUAAGUCGCGUGACUUUUAGAGUUGCUACUUCAUCGAAAUCAGCUGCUGCACCAAUCGGUGCAGACAAGGCCUCCUGAAUCUGUUUCAUGUUUUCAGUCUGAUCGUUGACCUCGUCCAUUGUUCUAUCCAAGUCGUCGAUGUUCCUGAUAUUUAAAAGGAAUCACACUAAACCUUAGAGAAACAGUUAAUGCAAUGAGAGCAUAGAAGCAGUAUCUACACAUUAAUGCAUUUUUUUUAAGGCUCACGAAGGGAUGAGAGAAGAACAGGACACUCCUAGUGUUAAAAAACAAAAGGGCCUGAUUAUAGGACAAAGCACUUUAAAUCAAAAAACUCUCUUUAGUGUCUCCCAUCAGUUCAUUUCAUGUGGCCUCUUUCACAGGGUUUACCAUCAGUACAUUUCAUAGUUUUUUAUUCCUACACUUUUAGAACAGUCUGUGUUGUAGAUCCAUCAGUAAUUCAAUUUUAAGGGAAAAACACUUGCAUUGGAUUUCAUCCAACUAAUUACUAAAUAGAGCCUCGAUUAGAUUUUUCGCUCUACUGGCAAAAACAAAAGCAGAUUUGUUGCUUCAAAUAUGGUAAAAUCUACCACACAAAACAAUGUACAGAAAUCCAGGCACAGAAUCUCCAUUUUUUUUUUCCUCUAGUAGAUACAGUUGAAAAUGGUACAUACGUUGCCUUAUGCAUGGCCUUCAUGGUGGCAGCUCCGCUUCGCAAUGCAUCAACAGUCUCUGUUGUGGCCUUGGCACCUUCUAACAUGAUCAUCUAACAUUUUUAAAAUGGAGCCAUGGUUUGAGAUUUUAGGUGUUUCCAUUCUAAGCAUAGAGACAAGGCAUCCAAGUGGAAGUAAAAUGGCCAAGCAGCAAGCAUACCUGAUCAUGUAUGCGCAACUGAUAACUUCCAAGCUGUUCAAUUUGUGUUUCAUACAUCUUUUUCUUUUUCAAACAUUGAAUAGCAGCUGCAAAAUAACACCAAUAUGCACAUUCACUGAGUGAUUUAAGCACAAAUGAGUUUCCAAUCUACAUCUCCACAAUGGGGUAAUAAUUGGCAAGAAUCUGAGACCAAUUGGAGUUACCAUGUCCGAACUAAAAGAGAAUAUGCUAUCUAUAGCACCUUGUGACUUCAUAAUUGCUUGGUGCUGCUGAAGCUAAUUAUUUAUCAGGAGGAGGACAUUUAACCAUUAUAAGAAUCAAUGUCUCAGUUUAAACUCUAUAACUGUACAGCACAACCACCAUAGUGUUUUUCUGGAUACCAACGGCACGGACAGAAAGAGAGAACAUGUUUCACAGGACAAGUCAACUAAUUUCGGUUUCAGCAUCAGACGAUCCCCAGCUACAGUUUCAUUAUCCAAAAUAUCACAUCUGAACACAUUGCAUGACCAUGGUUAAGUCACUGAAGAGUGAUUGAGAAUAACUCUGCAUUAUUUCUAUCAAUAUUGGCUUUCCAUCACAUGAAUUUAAUCAUUAAAGCAUUUCAAAUUCCCGUAGUUGAAGAUCCAAAGAGAAGAACAAUGGAAGCGAGCGGAGGUCAUACCAUUCUUUUUCUUGGCCUUGGUAUACGUCUUGGCCCUUUCAACCUCCGCAGCAGCCUUCUUGGCAAGGAAGUUCUCCUUCUUCUCUAACAUCUCGAGCGUCUACAAUGAUAAGUGGCAGAGGUAACAAUCUGAAGAAGCUCUCCCGCAAAUUUCAGCACGAUUUCCAGUUAAUUGAAUGGGUAUAACAUGUUAUACACAUCGGAUCAAGACAAAAGCAGUUUUGCAUAUGUUACAGGGGCUUUACAGAUGAUUUUAUAUCACUUCGUAAAUUAAAGAACUGAGUAUCACAUGUCUAGCUAGUAAAAAAAUUAAAGAACAGAUUGUUGGCUGCAUCAAAUCUAUUGCUUCUCUAAUUUCACCCACCAAUUGAGAUAUAAAUGGAAAUUUACAAUCCCAAAAUCAAAUAAAUUCCACAAACUAAAACCAUCCAACCGAUGAUAAAUUACAUGUAGGAUGACCUAACCUAGGAUGACCUGGAGCUGAAACAUAUCAGCAACAUCAACUGAUUAAUGGGUCAUAAACCCAGAUCACGCUACGACUAUUAACACGAUGACCCUCCAGAAAAUCUAUGGUCCUCUGGACACCACCAACGAGAAAAUGGAAAAUCAAAAUAAAAAGAACAGGAAUAAAGACAAAAUAUCAUAAGCAAUCAAAUUACUUUAAAGAAUUAGACAGAAGGAAACGAUCAGAAUCCUACCUCGUUCAAUUUAUCUAUCGUCGUUAUGGCACUGGCAGUUGAUUCCUUCUUCUUCGUAAACAUUUUCUGAAACAUGAUUGAAACCCUUUCUUCUGCAAGACAAGAACUUUCUUCCUCUCCGAGCUCAAGAAAGCUUUACCCGAUUCCAGAAAGACUGCGACGACCAAAAGUGGGAGAAUUUUAUCAAAUGGGUUGGAGUAAUUUUCCAGGAAUACCCAAAACCGAGGGCAUGCGGACCUUUGUGGACCGAUAGGUGAGCUUCCAAGAAAACCCUGUAAAAAAAAAAAAAAAAAACCCUGUAAAAGUGUACCGUGACAGAGGAGAGAUGACUUUUGUGGACUUUUGCUGGUCCGCGGUGAGGAUGACCCGUGUAUUCCCUGCACCUUCGACGAAACGGCAGCUUCGGUGACGCAGGAAAAGGUCGUUUUGGUCAACAAAUCAUGUCGUUUUACGGUUCUUACAAUCAAAUUUUCUUUUUUAUCUAUAUAUAUGACAUCUGCGGUGCGUUUGCUAAUUAUUUUAUUCAUGUAAAUAAUUUUUUUUUAUUUUGUUCUCAAAAAUAAUUUAUGAGCAUUUGAAGAUAUUUGGUAACUAUUCAAAAAUUCUAUUUCAUAAUAGAAAUACCUGUGAUAAAAUCUUUAAAAUUUAUAAUCCAAACUAUUUUCUUUUCGUAAUUUUACUAAAUUUUGCUCUUUUUCUUCUUUUUUUUCUUUUUGCCUUUUCAUCUUCUUCUUCCUCCCGUUGUCAAACAAGGAUCGGCAACCUUACCAAAGCAUCAUUAGCCCCCGAAGACCCAAGCCACAACAAUGUGAGCUUGCCGUGAGCUAGGGCGAGGGUUGGCCUCGCAGAGCCACCACCAGAUCAGCAUCGCCCAGUCAAGACAACAUCGAGGCUUGAUGAUGCUCUGGUGAAGUUACUAGCCAUGGUCGAGGUCGGCAAGAGGUCAAAAGGAAGAAGAAGAUGAAGAAAAGGAAAGAGAAGAAAAGAGAAGAGAAAGGAAGAAAAAUUAGGCUUGAUUCUAGAAUUAUUUUCGAAAACAAAUAAGUAACUUUUUUCUAUUUGUUAAUUUUAUUCCCAAGAGCAAAAAAAUUAUCAGACAAAUUUAUGUUCCAAGUAUAUUCCUAAAAACAAAAUAAAAUAAAAUCUAUUACUAUUUGACUAGUUGCUAAACUUAUUCCUAGUAAGCGAAAAAGCACAUAGAUUUUAGAUUUGUCAAAUUCCCGAUUCAAAUAUUAAAUAAAAAAUGUUGUGUCGCAAUACCUAAUAUGAGACAUAAUUAAUAUAACAUGACAGGAAAAGACAAGAAUAAUGUCAAAUUAAUAUCCCUUUGAAAACUAACUAUUUUGAUAGACAAUAAGAUACCCACAUACUUAUUAAAAUAUGUCCUAACAGAUUAAUUUUCUUUCUUGCUCUUCUAAUACAAAAUCUAACCCACUAGCUUUGGUUGGAGCGGCAUUUCACCCACCGAAAUGGCUUCUUAUACCUAAGGUCAGUCCUUGGGGUUUGAUAACUUUCUUUUUUCAUUUUUAGUUCAUUUUAAACAAUGCGACACGCACUUCAUUAUAACUUGCUCCAAUUUUACAUUUCGAAUUUUGAUUUCAAUUCUAAUCAAGUGAGGUGCCACUUCGCUUGACCAUCAAAUCGAAUAAACGUGUCAAAUCACCAGGAUAAUCGGCUCAACAGUCAUGUCUGUCAUAUUAGCAUAAUCAACCAAGCAAGACAAGAGCUGUGAUAAAAAGAGAGAGAGAGAGAGAGAGAGAGAAGCAAUGAAGAUGAAUAGAUAAGCAUGUAUAUUUUAGCAGUGAUGCCAAAUGGAGGAGCUCUCCCACUACCCCUUUCCUGAGCAGGUGAACUGGGCUGGGCUUUGCUAAAGACCCAGGGCCUGCAAAAGAAAGGAAAAAAAGAUAUGGUGGGCUGGAGGAGGAUAAAGUGCAAAUGGGCUUCAUCUGAGAAUUGGAUCCAUCUGACGUGCAAAAGCAAAUUUCUCCUACACCCUUCAGAGAAAAUAAAACUAUUUCCACACCCCGCUUUUUCCACUUUCCAAAAUUUUCACAUCCAACGUCGAGGAUCUAAGCUUGUGCGAUGCGCCACUUUAGUCACGCAAUCUUAGCAUCGAUCUCUCGUUGUUCUCAUCGAUAGUGGACAAACGCGCUCGUGGUUUUUUCGAUUCCUAAAGUUCGUAAUUUUUUAAUGAGUCGAGAUCGAAAAGGAGCCCAAAAAGAGAGGGGACCUUCUUUAUUUAUUCCGCGCUUGUGGGUGCUCUGCAAGCUGUCCUCCAUGUCGAGGGAGAGAGAGCAGCGGGCUGACACACGGCGGCCAGCCGAGGCCCGUUCGAUGGGGCUGAGAAAUUGCAAAGAGGACGGCGAUUGGCGGAAGGUGGGAUCGAGGGCGACUGAAAGUCGGUCAAGCAGAACUCUCUUUUCCGCGAUGCUCAACCAACCAACCACGCAGUUCACGAUUUCUCCCUCUGUCUCUCUGAGCAGCAACGACCGGAGAAAAGGGAAAAGAGAAUUGGGGGGGGACAGGACAGGAUAUUUGAGAGUUGAAUAAACCGGACAGGUACAGGUGGCUCCAUUGAACACCUCCCCCUUCCCGACCUUGCGCAUCAGGGGGGAGAGAGAGAGAGGUGCUUGGUGGGAUUGACAGAAAUCUAAUUCCAUGGCUUGGUUAGGUCGGUGAAAAAAAUAUUAGGUACAACUUUGAGGCCAACUCAGCAAAAAAAUAUUAAUUCAUUCACUUUUUGGGGUCUAUUUGUUGGUCACGGUCUCCCUCUCUCACCCUCCCUCGCUGCCUCGCCCCCUCUCCUCUCGUCCUUCUCUCUCCUUUGCUGUUCUUCUUCCUUUUUUUUUUUUGUCUCUCGUGCCCCACGGCUGCUGAGGUCGACCUCAAAGUCCAGAGCUUGGGAUGGCCAUAGCAGCUCAAGUUUGGAGCACACAAAUAUGGCCAUUUUUCUUUUUCCAGUCUAUUGUACUAGGUCGCCGCAUCCAUGACUUUUCUCCCAACUAUGGCUAUUAGAUCCAAAGGCCAGUGCCUGUGGACGAUUAGUCUACAGUCUUGCAAAUUUGUCUGUGGAGCUCGAGAUUGAACCUAGAGCUCGAGGUCAAAGCAGCCAUGGUCACUUAAGCUCGACAUCAUGAUUAUCGUUAGGGGUGUACAAAUGAAUCAGAAACCAUCCGAAUCACCUGGAACAGAUUGGAUUGAUUUGGAACUGGCGAUUCUUAUGGAGAUUGGUUCGGUUCUCAAUUCCAAUUUAUUAGAAUCGAUAAGUACCGAUUUGGUUCUUGAUUUCAAGCAUAAAACCACACAUCCGUUCACUCGGACAUAUGACCGAUAUAUAUUUAAAAAAAAGAAUUCCAACUCAUCUACCUAUCAAUCAUCCUCUCUUCUUAUUAUUCUCUAUCCUUUGCUAUACUUGCUUUUUUUUUUCUUUUUUUCAUUUUACUCGUGCCUCAUGGCCAAAGAGCUUGAGCCCAAGGCUUGCAACUGGCGUGGCCACGGAGUUCAACCUCGAGUAACUAAGGUCGCAAGCUCGAGAUAAGAUAACUAGAGGUAGAUUCAUGGAAUUAAAGGACGGUUCUCAAUUUCAAUUUUUUGAAAUCGGUCUUUAGUGGGCGAUUCUCAAUUCUAAGAUGAGAACUGUUCAUUUGGACCACGCUCACCUCUACUUAUUGUACCUCAAGCUUGCAACCUUAGUUACUUAAGGUCGAUCUCCGCCGCCGUGGCAGCCGCUAGCCUUGGGCUCGAGCCGUGUGGCCGCGGGGCGCGAGUAACAAAAUAAAGAAAGCAAGUGUAGCAGAGGAGAGAGAAGGAUGAGAAGAGAGGGGGGAGGUCGUGACUGACGGGUGGGCCUACGUGUGAUAAAUGUUGCAAGGCGAAUAGACUGAUUUUUUUGCUUAGUAUGGGGUUAGAGUUGUGGUUAAUAUUUUCUAUAGGUCGGCUUGAUUGAAGCCAUGGAUUUCUUCUUGGAUGACCGAAGUUGCUUUAGGAAUUGUGUAGUAUUUUUGCUGAUGUCUUAAGCAUUUUGACUAUUUAUUCGUGUAGAUACGACACACUCCGAUAUUUAAGACAAGUCAAAAAACUAGCAAAAGCAUAGGGUUGUAGAUGGAGCAUCAACGGCUUUGAUUUCAUUUCUCAUUGCAACAUCUCUAUCUUUUUUGUCAUUGCAACGUGUGUAGACCCACCAAAAUUAUGGGUCGGGUUGGAUUUGAAUCAAGUCGCAUUUGAGUUGAGUUGAAAUUUAGCCAGGUCUAAACCGAUUCAUUUAACUCAUUUUUAUGCAAUACAAAAUUUAGUGAUUUAUAUUCGACUCAAUUUAUAUCUAAUCUACAUUUGACUUGAUUCGUAUUACUAAAAUACUUCCAUAUUUGAUUCAAUUUAAGAAAAUCCAUACCUAAAUUGAUGCAAGAGUAUAGAAUGAGUGAACGUAAGAUCGAGUAAAGGCAAUAAAAAGUAAAAAGAAAGUCACGGAGAUAAGUUGUGUCUAAAUAAAGUGUAAAUUCAUUCAACACCCAUAUUAUUUUAGCUUUUAUAUUCUAAACCCAUUUUAUGUUUAAUUUACUUAGUAUAAUUAACUCAUAGCCUAGAUCAAGAGAUGGAUGUACGACCCAUUUUAAUAGAUUUUAUCGUGUGCACGGGACGAAAUGGAGUGAGUCAGGCUUUGGACUCUAGUCAUCAAGAAACCAUUUCAACGGAAUGGUAAACAGCUGUAAUAUACAUUUUGUUAUUUGGGUAGCUUGUUUGUAUGUGCAAUACCUCUUUGCUUAUUCUAAUCCAGUGAGCCAUCCCCUUAUGAUAAUCACAAACAAGGAUCUUAUGAAUGGACCCUUAAAAGUGUAACUUAAUCUUUAGGAUAAGAAAAAUAAAAAUACAACAAAUCAGGAUAACGUUUCCAAUCCCAAUCUAAUUCAAUAAAUAACUAUUGGAUAAUAAACAAUAUGCAGGCUUCUAUCGGCAUAAGUGGCGAGAGCGAAAUCAAGUUUUUGCGGGAGACAAUUUGAUGUAAUUAAUUAGUCCAUUCACAUCGGAGAAUUAAGUCGAGUUUACGAUAAGAUCGGCAUCCUUUUCAACGCGACCUUUGAAAAAGCGUGGUUACGGAAGAGCAAUAUCUCGAAAACCCUCCGCCAAUCGCGUUCGGUGUGGUGCGCGAAAGCUGAUCCGGACUUAAUCCGACGGUCCUGUUUCCAUCAUGACGGUGGGGGUUGACAAAAAGACAAAAAAGACCUACGUUUAAAGCUAAACGUUGGACAAAGCGAUGUCUUAAUCUUAGGCAAGGAAGCCACGUCAUCAUAUUAAAUAUCAAAAAGGGCACUUCUAGUCCUGUCCAGACGGGGCCCACGCCUACUUGCGCUUUUUGGCCACUUUUUCUCUCUCUCUCCUCUACCUUCUCUCUCUCUCUCUAAGGAAGACGAUUGAAUCGCUUUUGAUCCUUAUCUGGGCGAAUCCCUAAUUCUUCAACCUCGACACCCUUUUCUUCCCUUUCCACAUUCCCCUCCUCUGCUUUUUCCGUCUCCCUCGAAUCUGUUCCUCCACUCGUCUUCUGCACUGGCACCGUAAGCCCUCUUUCCCGUUCCGUACAAUCUCCUCUGUUAUGAUAUCUGUGCUUGUGGAAAACGUGUGGUCUCUCCUGAUCGAGCGCGAAGAACCGUUCUUGGCAUCUGGGUCUGGCUGCGUCAGGGCUCUGCACGCGGGCAUCGACGCUGGAGAGCUAGGUUGCUCGUGGGUUCGGGAGGAAAAGGUCUUUCGGCUAUCUGGGUUCGUCUGGGUCUGAGUUUUGAUUGAGUCGGUGUGAGGCGUCUGGAGCGCGAAGAAUCGUUUUUUGGCUUCUGGGUCUGGCUGCAUCGGGGCUCUGCACGCGUGGGUCGAUGCUGGAGAGCUGGGUGAGUCGUGGUAUUUGGAAGGGAGGGUCUUCCCCCUAUCUGGGUCUGUCUGGGUCUGAGUUUUGAUUAAGUGGGUUCGUGUUGUCUGGUGCUUUUUUGUGUUCGGAUACCCGGAUUGGGUGGGUUUCUGUUUCUGCAAGAAAGGUAAGAGCCUGAAGUUAGAUAUCAUGUCCAGUCUCUGUUAGAAGCCCUGGUGAUUAGGUGUUGAGUUGGGGAGAGCGAGGAUGAAGAGAGGGAAAGAUGAUGACAAGAUCAUGGGGCCCAUGUUCCCGAGGUUACAUGUGAAUGAUACAGAGAAAGGAGGGCCAAGAGCACCUCCGAGGAACAAGAUGGCCCUUUACGAGCAGCUCAGCAUACCUUCUCAAAGGUUUGGCUCGGGGAUGUUGCCUCUCAAUCCCAAUAACAGCAGCAAUUUGGUUUCUCCAGCAUCUUCGAACCAGGUAAAUGAUAUGAUUGGUAUUUCUUCCUUCGAUUGUAGCGUGUUUGCUUUGAAUUCAUUACUGUUUAAGUCAUGUCCUUGUGAAAGUAUGCCUGAUCUUUAGCCUGAAGUUACUGUUUUCUGUGGUAGGUAAGUUUUCAAGAAGCUGUCAGUUUGUCAAUAGUUGCUAUAGAUAUUGUAGAUUUUGGUGAUACACCGUUGUUCUCAUAAGUGGUUGAUCUGUGGUGUUGGGAAAUCUGUUAAUGGACUGGAUCGAGUGAUGAUAAUCGGUAGUGCUCUGGGAUUUUAGUUUGUCGUGUCAAAAGUGAGUCACUUAUCAUCAAAACAUUUAUCUGGUGAACCUCUCUCUUAAGGUGUUUCCUUCUCUGGUGACCUUAGGGAUUGGUGUGCGUUUUGUUUUUAUGUUAAUGAAUCGAACUAUUCUUUGCACAAGAAAAUGCUAAUUGGGGUGAGUUUUGUCAUUCUGGUGUAAGUUGAUAUGGGAGAACUAUUACUUUUUACAAUUCACUAAGACAACCAUUCGAUUUCAGGGGACUGGAUCUGCCCGGAACUUGUAUUUCCCACGUCACUUGCCUCCUUCAACUCCAACUCAUCUUUCUGAGAGAUUGAAUGCUGGCAAGUCGGGCGGCACUAGUCCAGCUAAUUCGCUGGCACGAGUGGAACAGAGAAAAAAUGCUGGUGAUGGAGAUGAUUUUAUGGUUCCCGUAUAUGUUCAGUCAGGAACAGGUCAAGGUAAAAACAAGAAUAGUAAGGCUGGGGAUAAUGCUACAAAUUAUACAGCGAAGAUGCAAAGCUCCUGCAGUGAUGAUCCAAGAAGAUCUAGCUCAGUAGGUCUCAGUUCAAGACAAGAAUCAAACUUAGACGGUUCUAUAAGAUCCUAUAGGAACAUAGCCACUGCAGAGAAUGGUCGUAGAUCAUUGAAGGAAGCUGAUGCACCUCGAAAUCCGGUUCUAGCAAGUUUUAGCACAUCCCGUGGUACAGAUGCACAACUACGACAGGGAAAUGAAGAUGGGUCACAAUCAGAUGAGCAUGCACAAGAUUUCGAAAAUGAAGAAACUUCAAGAGACAUUGAGAAGGGAAUAUCUUCCUGGUCAAGCCGUGAUCCUCGUUUGGGAGAAACCCAAAGAUGUCCACCUGAGCCUAAUAGCUUUGGUAAGGAAAACUUAAAUGAAACAUGUGGCGCGUUGCUCAUGGUUGACGCUGGCAGGAAUGACGAUGCAUCCGAAGUCUCCAUUGCAGAUUCAGUGUCAGGCUUUGAUAUCUCUCCUGAUGAUGUUGUGGGAAUUAUAGGUCAAAAACAUUUCUGGAAGGCCAGGAGAGCAAUUGUCAAGUAAGUACCUUUAUGCUUACCCUUGGAUGGUUCAUCCAGCUUUAAAAUCUGAGGUUCUUAUUGCCUUACUUUCAAUUUUAUGUGAUUUUGUUCUUGCAUGUAAAUAAGAACUCCAAAGUACUCUUUUAAAAUUGUCCUCUUUGGUUAUGAAAGUUGAGUGGUCAGAACUUAUAAUGUUUAGGCGAAACUGCAAGAUGGUCAAAUUUUUAGGACAUUGGAUGCAAUUCUCCCAUUAUUUUAUUAGAAUAUGUAUUGUGUAUCUCAGAUUUGGUCAUUAUUGUGUGAUUGCUUCUUUCUUAGUUGUUUUGAUAAUGAGCCUUGUUAUGACGGUUAGACAACUCAAUUGGUUGUCCAGUCUUUCUAAACAUUCAGAUAAAAACUAUUCUUCAAUAAUAUGUUCUAACACGUUGUGAUUGUUCUCCAAAUGGUAAGGGAGAAAUAUUUUUGUUCAUUUGUUCAUUUGUUCAGACUUAUAUCAACCAUAUGAGUGUACCCUCUCUUGGGUUGAACUAUAACUUGAUUUUCAUUUGAAACCACCGGAUUGUGCUGCGUAUUUGGACUUUAUCCAUUCUUUUGCUUCGACAUUUGCUUUUGCUCUUAGUGUUAAUUUGUUAAAAGGGUAAGGGACGUGCUGCAGCAUUGCUGCCUUCAUAUGUAGUAUUGAAUUUGUUUUCGAUACCGAGAUUUUGCUUCAAAUUUCAACAUUAGAGCAUUAAUUGAUUUCAAUCAGAAAACUGUAGUUCAUAGAUUUAUAGUUGAGGAGAGUAACUAACGGUGUGGAGUCCCAGGGUCCCUCUGAGGUGGUAUUUCAUGUAUUUAGCGGUGGAUCGUCUGAGACCAGGUAGGUCGACUGUCCUAUCUGGAGAAUUUUUGCAAGGUGACCCUGAGAAUGGUGGAUCAUCUCUCGUUCAUUGUGCCUUCGCAUUUUCUCUCAAGAAAUAUUUCUGUCUCCAUCUUUUUUUCUGGUCUUGCCUGCCACAUCGUGAGCAUUCUCUAAUAAUGAGGGCAUGGUGCGGCAGGGGACAUGGCGGAGGGUAGUGCCGUGGUAUGUCUGGGACCAUUUCCAAGGGGUGAAAAUGAUAUCUAGCUUGAUCUUGGUGGAUAUGGUGACCAAAAGGAUUACGUUUCAUGUUGCACCUUGGUAUUUGUGUUAUUGAAUUGGGUGCCUAUCCAUUCUUCGUUUAUACAAUGUCUAGGUAUAAUGUUGCUGUAGUGUAUAUACGUGCUAACUCUAUGUUCUUGUUGUAUUUUUUCAUAGAAUUAUUGUCUGAUUUUAGCAUAUAUAUCAGCUGCAGUCCUAGCUUCUCUGUUGUGCACGAUAUUUGAUGUAAUGGUAGUUUCCGUUGAGAUAGAAAAAUAAAGAAAGAAAAUUUAGGUGCAAGGGUAUGGAGAUAUCGAGGCAAUGAUUGAAGUGCUUUUGUUUUGAGUGCCUGUGAUUGUUCUGUUACUGUCAUUCUUAGUAUUGGCUAGAUUUUGGAUGAGUUAAGUUGGAUGCUUAAUGCCUUGCAAUGUUUAGAUCUAUGCUAUUGACCAUCUGAUUUGAUUGGAGUAUUCAUCUGUCUUUUUGUGAGCCUAAGUCAAUGAAUGUGUUAUUGUCUCUGUUUUGACAUAACUCCCUUUUACUCAUUUCAGUCAACAGAGAGUGUUUGCAGUUCAAGUCUUUGAGUUGCAUAGAUUGAUAAAGGUACGCUGGAUGUCACUCUUCAAGGAAAUUAUUUGGUGAAGUCUAGUAGUAACAUAUCUUUGUGCAUUUACAGGUACAGAAGUUGAUCGCUGGGUCACCACAUCUUCUGAUUGAGGAUGUUUCUGGCUUAGGCAAAACUUCUUUAGUCAACUCUCCUGCGAAGAAAUUUUCCGAGGACCAUAAUGGUGGAUAUCCAUCACAAACUACAAACCACAAAGAGGAGCAGGAGAAGCCUGGCCACCAGAUGGAGUGUUCUGCAGAGAAUGCAGUCGGGAAGACAUCAAUUUCUUCUGUCAAAAGUGCCAAUCAGCUUUCAGAUUAUGGGCCUGGUAUGAGAAACCCACCUCUUGCACCCAUUGUGCCUGAUGUGAAAAUGGGCCCAUGGGGUUACCCUCAGCCAUCGGGGCAGCAAUGGUUGAUCCCUGUCAUGUCUCCUUCAGAGGGGCUUGUUUACAAGCCCUAUCCUGUGCCUGGAUUGACGGGAACAGCUUGUGGAGGAUGUGGGCCAUACAACUCUUCUCCAAUGAUGGCGAACAUCCCAAACCCUGCCUAUGGAGUUCCACUGCAUCCUCAUCACCAAGGAUUUGGGUUCCCUUCGGGUGUUCCUCCACCUGGCCAUAGUUAUUUCCCCACGUACGGUAUGCCUGUCAUGAGCUUCAACGUUUCGGGUUCAUCUGUAGAACAAACGAACCGGUUUUCCCGACCUGUCCAAUACGGUCAAACGGGCCAAUUAUCUGGAGGGGAAGUUAACAAUCUGCAGCAUCAGAAUUCAUCUAACUUACCUAAGCAGAGAAAAGGAUCAGUUGCUCAGAUCAAAUUCCAAGCCAAUAAAGACAGUGAGUUGCAGGUGAGCACGGCAAGCAGUCCUAGCGAGAAACCACCAGAGGGACUUGGGAAUGUCCAAUCCUCAGACGGAAAAGAAGCACUCCCACUUUUUCCAGUUGCUCCAGCGGUUUCUGAAGGGGGAUCUCAGCUUCGCGAGGCGGAGCAGCCUACAAGGGUUAUUAGAAGUGUGCCUCACAACGCUAGAUCUGCAACAGAGUCUGUGGCUCGAAUAUUCAGGUCUAUACAAGAAGAGAGGAAACAGUUCGACUCCAUUUAGGGGCUCGGCUGACUAUGUUUGUCUCUCAUAAAGUCGUAAACUCGGAAACUCAUUUGAGUUCUGAGCGUGAGAGCUUCUGUAUUUGUGUUAUAUUCGUCUUUUGGUCCUUAUAGAUUGGUCUGUAAAUUAGGUUAUCCUAUGUGGAAGUUCAUAACCGGAUUAUAUUUGUCAUCUCGGUGUAAGUUGCUAGAGGUGUCUUUUGGUAAGGUAAAUUUUGUUCCUGUGAAUCGGUGCCUAUAUAUCACUACAGUGUAACUUCCAAUCGAAUAGCCAUCUUGUGUUUUGCCUGUUGUAUCAGUAAUUUUAUCAUUCCUUGUCUUUAUCAAGGGAGUUGAGCUCAUGACUGUUGGGUGCUGUAAAAUCGCUCAACGAUGACACGAUUUCCCGGAUUGAUUUCGGCAUGUCCUCGCUUGGUGCCCAUAAGUAAAUCUCGACUUUUGAGCAGUUCUUUGUUGUGGACGUAUUAGUGAUGCUUGAUGAGGGAACUUUUGACCUAUAGCAUUUGUCAUCCCUGGGGAACGGAAAGGGGAUGUGUAGGGGCAAAAGCUAUUUCACUACUACUGAAGGGGAGUUCAAUAGGUUGUGACCCCAAAUGAAAUUCUUUGGAAGGACAUUUUGUUUGCUACACUUGCAUGACAUUCACAUAUUACUCAUCAUCAUGGGCAGAAAUGAUUUUGUCCCGGUCCGCCGAAGUAGAACACGGGCUCGCCGACGUACCCUUCUCUAUGGUUGUUCCCAUUGUAGCAGUACACUUCAUCACUAUAAACCCCAACCCACUCCGGGUACUUGAGUGAGAGUGAGAAGUCCACGAUCCUAACGUGGUUGAUGUAGCAGGCAUGGCCAUGGAGUGCCUCUGAGUACUCCCCACUUCCCAUGGCAGUUCUGGUGUGAGGAGUCUUCUUCACCAUCGUACUGUACACUUGACCUCCCCAGUUGACCAUUAUGGCGCUGCGCUUCAGGUAGAAGAAAAGGGAUCCUGGAAAAUACCCGAGGACCAGGUUGUUCGUGAGGCGUAGCCACCAGUUGGUAGAAUGAGGAUCCUGGUUCAAUGAUAACUAUCUCUGCUCAGAAAUAAUAUUUCCAGAAAGAGGACUCGCAACUUUUUAAGUUAAACCUGAAUUAAUGGGCGAACACGAUUCAGAUGAAAUUGUAAAAUGGUUGGAACGGUUAAGUCAGGAUUGACAUGAAGAGCAAAUCGUUGUCCAAGGGAACACGGACACCUUUGGGCAUUUGAAUGUAACUAGCCUGCUCAAACAGGGAUUUGCCGAUCCGGUCUAUUGCAAGUAAAGAAGGCAAAGAAGAUUGAGAAUUUAAGUACCAAGAAGAUGCCGACUGAUAUUUGAUAUUGUUCCCGUUCAGAAGAUAUCGGACCUAGAGCAGAGCCGAGGGCCACCUCAGAACUAGUUUGAACGAACCCAGAACAGGUCAAAUCGAAGCAGCCUGUGGAAACGCUUCCAUCAACCUAUGUAAUAGAGGAAAAGGAAGAUAAGCCAACCAAUUAAACGGUUCAGCUCCGCCCAGAAGGAAUGGUCUAUCAUGAUAGAGAACUCACGGUCCAAUGUGUGAAAAGCCGACUUUGCUUAUCUCCAUAUAAUUUUGGGUUCACCUGGGAAUAGGAAAAUCUUUCUGAGCUAUCUCAAUAUAUAACCAACAACUAACAGGUUGUAAGUAAAAGAGACCCCGACUGAAAUUGAAAGACAGACCAUCCAUCCUGCUUCAACACUUUCGUACUUAUUGCCGGGGCCACCCAGAAGCCAUAUCUGGGCUGUAGUGAAGUCAUCUGGCAAAUCAAGGUUUGGAUUCCAUAAGUUUAUGUCACUGGAAGCUCCUAUGUAGUUGUACCCUACUGUCACAAGGAUUGCUUGCUGCACAAGAAACAUAGUGAAAUAAUAUUACUAGACCCUAAAAUGUGAGGGAACAAGUUUCUGUAAGCAAGUCAACGAGGGGCGUUCAAUUCAGUUGAAGGAAUGCUUACAUCACGAUCUUUUGUAUAAGGAAGAGAGACUCGGGUUCCAUUUAUGACCACAUUUCGAACAUUUUCAUUGAGGGUUGAAUUAGCCACGUAGUCCUGUGAAUGAGGAUGGUACAUUUUCCCAAAUUGCUCGGGACUAGAAGCUCUCAACAAGUCUUGCCGCCGGACUCGUCGGAUGGGAAUAGUUCCCCGGGGACAACUUCCACUCUUUUGCCAAGUUUGAGCUAUUACUGGUUUUGAGGACUCAACUUUUGUUGCUUUGUUUCUGAAGGCAAUUUAAUGCUGGGUUCCAUCUGCAUUUUGAAGAAAGGAUAGUAAAUGAGGUUUCCAGGAAAUCCCCGCACCCCCCCCCAAAAAAAAAAAACAAAAAACAAAAAACAAAAAAAAAAGAAAAGAAGAAAGGAAAUAUGAGGCUGCUUUCAAUAUGUGUGAUGAUAACGUGCAAUCCGCUUGUUUGAGUUCCUGAGACUAGCUGAUUUAAUUAGAAUAAAAGCUAUUUAGAACUUAUGAGUCUUGAAAAAAUGUUGUCAUCAAAAUGUCAAUUGUAAGUAGGAGAGCUAUGGUUAGGAAACGGGCCUGAAUGACAUGCUCCUUCAUUGCGGGAUGGUCGAAGGCUGGUUGUUUGUGCAUGUCAACACAGUCGAUGAUAUCUCCAUCUGCACUCUAUCAAUCAAACCAAAAUUGGACAUCAGUCUGCAACUUAAUUUACUGGGAGUGAACAAGCUUUCAUUAAUUGUGUCCAUUAAGUAGCUAACGAACAAAAGGGUGCCUUGAAAACUCACUUUCCUUUUGUGUGUCUGAGUAAGUGCGUGCGUGAGAGGAAGAGAGAGAGAAAGAGAGCAACUUUUCUGAAAGAACUCAAAUUACAACCACAUCCUCUACUUAUCAACUCGAGCCAAUGUAUGAGUACUGUAGAUUUGACUGCAGCAAAAAGAUGGUUGCAUGGUUGAAGUACGGUGCAACAAAAAUACUGAGGACAUGGAAGAAAAAUUUAACAUUUCUUAUAUGGUGAUUUGUGGGGAUCCCAUAUAUGGCAUUACUUUCUGACCAAAACUGAAAAAAAAAGAAAAACAAAAGAAAGAAAGAAAAAAAAAGAAAGAAAAGGAGAGAGAGAAUAAAAGCAUAUCACGUAUUCAUAUCAUUAGUUCUAUUUGGAAUACAGCAAAAUUGUCCUGGAUCUUAUGGCACAUGUGCAGUUGAUCACCAAGAGUGUAAUCACUUUUUCCUGAAAUGGCUCCAGAAAAACAUGGGUUUUGUACCAAAAGCAAAUGUUCAGCGAUGGCUGUGGAACUGACUUUCAUCACAUUGUUAUAUGAAGAGACACCAGAAAUGAUUCAAAGAUCGAGGUUUUAUGAGAUAUUAGUGUAAGCUGAUGCAAAGUAGCCGAAAAUACAGAAAACACGUCGGAGAAUUUUGUUGCCCUCCAAACAAAAGAAGCUUUUCCGGGCCAAGAAAUCAAGGCCAGCGUCUCCUAUUUAAUGAAAUUCUCACAAUGGUUUUUCAAACCAUGAAUCAGUAUCAGCAGAAAGCCUAUUCAAAGAGGCGUUGAAGGAGAUAUGAUACCUGAAUGCUCUUCACUGCAGGCUUAUUAAGAAGCCUGAGUCUUCUAUCAAUAUCAUCCUCGUCCACCGCAGCCUCUCUAUUCAUUGAUUUUCUUGAUGCACUAUUAGCCAUUGUGGCCCAACACAAUGCCAUAGCCAAGAAGAGCAUAAAUCCCACUUUCUCCAUUCUUCCUUCGGCUUCUCAGCAGGAAAAUGACUGAAGGGGAAGCGAUUAAAAAAGAUUGAAAUGACACAAAAAAUGGAAAGUGCAAAACCGAUUCAAUGUUUGUCCACGAAAGCCAGGAACCUUGCAAAAUCCCAAUUUGCCACUGUGAUUGAUCACUUGACACAUUUGCUUCGGUUGAAACAGAAGGUACGCAUUUACUAACAAACAGCCAAAUAGAAAGAAAAGACAAUGAUACACCGACCAGAUUGUUUCUUGUGAAUUAAGUCAAGAUUGACUGAACUUUGACUUCUUCAGUUAACGUCAACACAGAAAAAGAUAAACUUUUAUGACUUUUCUGCCAAAUACCAUUGUGUUCUUCACAGAUUGCAGCAAUGCACGAUAAACUGACUGAAAAUGACCUGCACUGCAAGAAAAUUUUCCAGGCAUGCUGAUUAAGAGCAUGAAUUUUCUCUUAGCAGAAAAAGAUCAGGGAUCUAAAGUAUAAUUUAAAUAUGGGAAGUGCCAGCUCGUCAAACUUCAUAAAAGGCCUUGUGAUUAUGGCAUAAAAAUCUACGAGAUUUAUAUUUUGGACAAAUGUGGCUUUCUCUCUCUUUUUUUUUUUUGGUUGAAACAUAUCACUUACAUUUAACCAGCGAAGUUAGGAAGACAACCACAAUAAACUUCUAAACACACCAAAUCCCCAAGGGAUUAGAUAGCCAAUUAGAAGGGAGGUACUCUAAUCUAUGGGCUUCGGCAAUCCAAUCCGCAAACUGAUUGGCUUCGCAUAAACCUGUUGACCUGAAGUGCUUAAUAGAUGGGAUGAGAAUGGUUUACUUCCACACAUUUAAGCCGAGCCAGCAAGCCCAUACAAUCUUCAAUUACUGUGUUAUGGCUUCACCCACAUGAGUUUGUUAUGGUGUUCCGGCCUGGACUUCACGUUUAACCUGAUGAGAAGCAUGCCUCCAGGUUUAGUUUAGCCUGCCGGUUGAUCAGGUCUGAAAUUCUAAGACAUAUAAGAAAGGCUUUCAAUUGGUGAAAAGGAAACGGAAAAAUAAGUGUCCUUUUUCUAUAAACUCUGUUCCUAACAUCUGCCGUACCAGGAUCAAUCUGAAAAACGUAGAAACUAGCAGCCGCGGUGUCUAGUCAAGGGCACAACGCAUUCCAUCCAGGACCUCCGAAAUAAAACUCAGGAUCUUCAAUAUCCCCAAGGUUAAACUCUUCUGUGUAGUGGUCAAUCUCUUCCGGGAACUUCAGGAUCAUCAAGUUGUCACAGACCCGUACCCUCGUCACUUAUUUGCUCAAUUCUUAAGGAAAACUGCAUGCUGCCCAUCCAUGUUGAGGUGUGGGGCAAAAAUUUCCCUAUUCUUGAGCUAUACACUUCGCCUCCCCACUGCACGGUCUGUGCAAUUUGAGGUAGGUAGGUGAGUGGCUCGGGCAGGAAGUAACCAACAUUCGUCUUCUCAUCAUAUUGAACCCACCAUUUAUUGGUGUUUGGAUCUGAAAUUGCACGGAAAAGUCUUUGCCAACAUCUUUCAAUUCAUCAAAGAAGCUAAAAGUAACUAAUUUGUGAAUUCUUCGAGUAGUAUCUCAAUGUGGUCAUAGAUCAGUACUAUCUGACACUUAAGGGAUAAAGUGUUAUUUGAUAGGGAAGGCCAUCCUUUGUCCAGAUGGGAUGAAUGGCCGUGCUGAGGGCCAUCUUGCUGCUCGUUUGAACAAAACCAGGGCAAGUGAGAUCAAAGCAGCCGAUUUUUUUCCCAGAGUCAGCCUGAUACACAGAAGAGGAAGAUACAAUGUUGGUUUUGCAAUGUCAUACCAAAGAUAGGCCAAACAAAGAUCAAGUCAAGGUGUGAAUGGAAGCCCUACUUAGCAUUAAAAAAAAAGGAAACAUUUGUCCCAGUGACUGCCAAUGAGACCUGGUAUAUUUGUCAUGUUCAUUUAAAUGGAAAAUGAGUUUGGAUGAUGAGUUAACUGUCCAAUAUGCAAAUACACAAGUCUUCCAGUUGACAUACAUGCCAGGAUUCAACUGAAAAGUUUGGAAUCGUUAGGCGUUGGGUUAGAAUUACUGGAAAGCAACUGUCACAAAGCUAUCACUUCGGUUAAUCUGCAAAGGCCAAGAUCUGAUACUUGUUUGGGAGAAAACCAGAGAUGUCCACCUGAGCCUAAUAGCUUUGGUAUGGAAAUCUUAAAUGAGAUAUGUGUUGCUCAUAGUUGACGCUGGCAGGAAUGGCGAUGCAUCCAAAGUCUUCAUUACAGAUUAAAAACAUUUCUGGAAAGUCAGGAGAGCAAUUGUCAAGUAAGUGCCUGUAUGCUUAACCCCGGACACGUUCAUCCAGAUUUAAAAUCUGAGGCUGUUAUUGCCUUACUCUCAAUUUUUUGUGAUUUUGUUCUUGCAUGUAAAAAAGAUUCAAAGUAUUCUUUUUAAAUUGUCCAGUUUGGUUAUAGAAGUUGAGUCAUCAGAACUUGUAAUGUUCAGGCUAAACUGCAAAAAGGUCAAAUUUUAAGGACUUUGGAUGCAAUUCUCCCAUUAUUCUCUCCUUCAUUGUGCCAUUGUAUUUUCUCUCUAGAAAUAUUUCCGUCUCCAUGUUUUCUCUUGUUCUUGCUUGCCAUAUUGUGAGCAUUCAGUAAUAAUGAGGGCAUGGUGCAGCAGGGGACAUGGCGGAAGGUAGUCCGGUGACAUGUCUUGGACCAUUUCCGAGUGAUAUGGUGACCAAAAGGAUUAUUUGUCAUGUUGCACCUUGGUAUUUGUGGUAUCAGAAAUGGAUGCCAAUCCAUUCUGCAUAUGCAAUUUCUAGGUAUAAUUUUGCUUUGGUGCAUAUGAAUCCUGACUCUAUGAUCUUCAUAGACUAAUUGUCUGGUUUUAGAAAAUAUAUCGGCUGUAGUCCUAGCUUUGGUAUUGUGCACAGUACCUGAUGUAAGGGUAGUUGAUGUUGUGAUAAAAAAAGAUAGAAAAUUUAGGUGCAAGGUUAUGGAGAUAUCAAGGCAAUAUUUGAAGUACUUUUGCCUGUGAUUGCUCUGCUACUGUCAUUCUUAGUACUGGCCAGAUUUUGGAUGAGUUUAGUUGGAUGCUUCAUGCCUUCCAAUGUGUGGAACUCCUCAUAAGGAGUUAUAGUAGAAUUUGGGUAGACUGUUGUUCAUCCAGAUCUAUGCUAUUGACCAUCUGAUUUGAUUGGAGUAUUUGCUUGUCUUUUGUAUGCCUAAGUCGAUGAAUUUUUUAUUGUCUCUGUCUAGACAUAACUCCCUGUUACUCAUUUCAGUCGACAGAAAGUGUUAGCAGUUCAAGUCUUUGAGUUGCAUAGACUGAUAAAGGUACGCUGGAUGUCGCUCUUCAGUGGAAUUAUUUGGCAAAGUCUGGUAGUAGUAACGUAUCUCAAUGCAUUUACAGGUCCAGAAGUUGAUUGCUGGGUCACUAUAUCUUCUAAAUUGUGGGUGCUUCUGGCUUAGGCAAAACUUCUCAGUCAACUCUCCUGGGAAGAAAUUUUGCGAGGACCAUAAUGGUAGAUAUCCGUUAUAGUAGAAUUUGGGAUGUUUGCUUUUUCCUCUUUUGUUGACUUUUCAAACCCUCUUUCUUUCUUUUUUUUUUUUUUUUUUGGUAAGGAAAUAUGAACCCUUUUAUUUAUAAAAGAAGAUAGAACAAAAGAAGCAGAAUAGUUCUUUUUCUUUUUUUUUUAAGCCCAUAUUUUACAAACAUCCCAAACCCUGCUCAUGGCGUUCCGUUGCAUCGUCAUCACCAAGGAAUUGGGUUCCCUUCAGGUGUUCCUCCACAAGGCCAGAGUUAUUUCCCCACGUACGGUAUGCCCGUCAUGAGCUUCAAUGCUUCAGGUUCAUCUGUAGAACAAACGAACCAGUUUUCUCGAUCUGUCCAAUAUGAUCAAACACGCCAAUUAUCCAGAGGGGAAGUUGACAAUCUGCAACAUCAGAAUUCAUCUUCUGCAACAUCAGAAUUCAUCUAACACACCUAUGCAGGGAAACGGAUCAGUUUUGCAGUUCAAAUUCCAAGCCAAUGAAGUCAGUGAGUUGCAGGUGAGCAUGUCGAGCAGUCCUAGAGAGAAACGACCAGAUGGACUUGGGAAUGUCCGAUCCUUGGAGGGAAAAGAAGCGCUCCCUUUUUUUUCCUGUUGCUCUAGGGGCUUCUGAAGGCUGAUCUCAGGCUCAUGAGGCGGAAGAGCCAACAAGGGUUAUUAUAAGUGUGCCUGACGGGUAGAUCUGCAACCGAGUCCGUAACUCGAAUAUUCAAGUCUAUAAAAGAAGAGAAGAAACAGCUCAAAUCCAUUUAGGGGUUUGGCUGACUAUGUUCGUCUCUUUAAAGUCGUAAACUCAGAAACUCAUUGGAGUUGUGAGCGUUAGUUUCUGUAUCAGUGUUCUAUUUAUCUUCUGGUCAUUACAGAUUGGUUUAUGUAAAUUGGACAUUCCUAUAUGGUUCAUCACUAUAUUACAUUUGUCAUCCAGGUGUAAGUCGCUAAAGGUGUCUUUUGUUAAGGGCGAAGUAAAUUUUGUUCCAGUGAAUUGACGUCCAAGAUAUCGCUACGAUCUGACCAAAGAGCCUUUUUGUGUUUUGCCUGUUGCAUCAGUAAUCUCAUCAUUUUCUUUAAGAUAUUCGAAAAGCUUGUGCCUAUUGGGUGCUAUAAAUUCGCUCUGUAUGAUGCAUGCGAUGAUGCAUGAGGGUGGAUUGUUUUCGGCAUGUCCUUGCUCGGUGCCCAUAAGUAAAUCUCUCCGGCUUUUGAGCAGUUCUUUGUUAUGGGCGUGUUAGUGAAGCUCAAUGAGGUAACUUUGGAUCAAAAGUAUUUGUCAUCUCCGGGGAGUCUGAAAGGGAUCUGUCGUGGCAAAAGCUAUUUCACUUUUACUGAAGGGAGUUCAAAAGCCUGUGACGAGUGAAAUUCUCUGAAAGGAACUUCUGUCUGCAAUACUUGCAUGACAUUCACAUAUCACUCACUUACAGAAAUUAUUUUGUCCUGGCCCGCCGAAGUAGAAAACAGGCUCAUCGACGGGCGUAUCUCUAUGGUUGUUUCCGUUGUAGCAAUACACUUCAUCAUUGUAAACCUGAACCAUUUCAGGGUACUUGAGUGAAAGUGAGUAGUCCACAAUCCUAACGUUUUUGAUGUAGCAGGCGCGGCCGUGGAAUGCCUCCGAGUACUCCCCGCUUCCCAUGGCAGUUCUGGUGUGAGGAGACUUCUUCACCAUCGUACUGUACACUUGACCUCCCCAGUUGACCAUUAUGGCCUUUUGCUUCAAGUAGAAGAAAAGGGAUCCCGGAAAAUACCCGAGGACCAGGUUGUUCGUGAGGCGUAGCCACCAGUUGGUAGAAUGAGGAUCCUGGUUCAAUGAUAACUAUCUCUGCUCAGAAAUAAUAUUUCCAGAAAGAGGACUUGCAACUUUUUAAGUUAAACCUGAAUUAAUGGCGAGACCUAAGUCGAAUGAAAUUGUAAAACAGUUUUGAGUGGCUAAGUCAGGAUUGACAUCGAGUAUAAUCGUGAUUUGUCGAAUAUUUCCCCACUUAGCUUUGUCGUAGUCAUGCCCAAAGGGCAAAUCAUUGUCCAAGCGCACAGGGACACCUUUGGGUAGUUGAUUGUCAAACUAGCCCGCCCAAGCAAGGAUUUGUCAAUCAGGUCUACCGCAAGUAAAGAAGGCAAUGAAGAUUUAUCACUUACGUACCAAGAACAAACCGACUGAUAUCUGAUAUUGUGCCCCUUCAGAAGAUAUCGGGCCCAGGGCAGAGCCGAGGGCCACGUCGGUACUAGUUUGAACGAACCCAGAACAGGUCAAAUCGAAGCAGCCUGUGGCUUUGCUUCCAUCGACCUGAGUAUAAAAGAAAUGGAAAAAACACGAUCAGUUUAAGAUUCACCUCCGUCCAAAAGAAAUGGUCUAUUACGAUGGCAGAGUACUCACUGUCCAAUGCGUGAAAAGUCGAGUCUGCUUAUCUCCAUAUAACUUCGGGUUCACCUGAGAAUAGGAAAAUCUUUUUGAGCCAUCUCAAGAGAUAACCAACGACUAACCGGUUAUAAGUGAAAGGGGCCUAGACUAAAACUGAAAGACAGACCAUCCAUCCUGCUUCAACACUUUCAUACUUAUCGCCGGGGCCGCCUAGAAGCCAUAUCUGGGCUGUAGUGAAGUCAUCUGGCAAAUCAAGGUUCGGAUUCCAUAAGUUUAUGUCGCCUGAAGCUCCUAUGUAGCUGAACCCUGCUGUUAAAAGGACUGCUUGCUGCCCAAGAAACAUAGCGAAAUGGCAUUACUAGACACUGAACGUGUGAGGGAACAAGUUUCCACGAGCAAGUGAACAAGGGGCAUUGAAUUCAGUUAAACGAAUGCUUACAGAACGAUCUUGUGUAUAAGGAAGAGAGACUUUGGUUCCAUUUAUGACCAAGUUUCGAACAUUUUCAUUGAGGGUUGAAUUUGCCACGUGGUCCCGAGGCUGAUACAUUUUCCCAAAUUGCUCGAGACUAGAAGCUCUCAACAAGUCUUGCCGCCGGAUUCGCCGGAUGGGAAUAGUUCCCUUAGGACAACUUCCACUCUUUUGCCAAGUCUGAGAUAUUACUGGUUUUGAGGGCUCACUUUUUGUUGCUUUGUUUUCUAAAGGCAAUUCAAUGCUGGGUUUCAUCUGCAUUUGAAGGAAGAAAAGUAAAUAAGGUUACCGAGAAAUAUCCCAAAAAGAGAAGAAAGGAAAAAUCAGGCUGCUUUCAAUAUAUAAGAUCAAAAUGUGCAAUCCACUCAUUUGAGAUCUCUGAGACUAGCUGGUUCAUUUCAAAUACGAGCUAUUUAGAACUUUUCAGACUCAAAAAAUGUUGUGACCAAAUUGUCAAUUGUAAGUAAGAGAGCCAAGGUUUGGAAUUGGACCUGAAUGGCGUGGUUCUUCAUUGCGGGAUGGUCGAAGGCUGGUUGUUUAUGCAUGUCAACACAGUCGAUGAUAUCUCCGUCUGCACUCUAUCAAUCAAACGAAAACUGGACAUCAGUCUGCAAUUUGAUUUAGUGGAAGACAAGAUUUGAUUAAUCAUGUCCAUUAAGUAGCUGACAAACAAAUGGGUGUCUGAAACGGCACUCUUCUGUUGUGUCUGAGUGAGUGCGUCAGAAAAAUUUGACAUUGUGAUCCAAUAAAUGGCAUUACUUUCUGGCCAUAACUGAAAGAAAAAGANNNNNNNNNNNNNNNNNNNNNNNNNNNNNNNNNNNNNNNNNNNNNNNNNNNNNNNNNNNNNNNNNNNNNNNNNNNNNNNNNNNNNNNNNNNNNNNNNNNNGGGGGGGGGGGGGGUGAAAUGCAUAUCGCAUAUUCAUAUCGUCAGUUCUAUUGAGCGGUGAAAUACAAUUUGGAAUACAGCAAAACUGUGCUGGAUCUUAUGGCGCAUAUGCAGUAAAAAUCCAAAAAUGUUAAUCACUUUUUCCUGAAAUGGCUCUGGAAAAACAUGGGAUUUGUGCCAAAAGCAAAUGUUCGAUGGUGGUUGUGGAACUGAGUUUCAUAACACUGUUAUAUAAAGAGACACGGCAAAUGAUCGAAAGAUUGAAGUCUUAUGAGAUAUCAGCGUAAGCUGAUGCAAAACGGCCGAAAUCCUGAAAAUGGGUCGGAGAUUUCUUUUGCCCUCCAAAACAAAAGAAGUCUUUUCCGGGCCAAGAAAUCACGAAAAUGGCGGAAAAGGCGGGUGUCUCUGGUUUGAUGUAAAUCUCACAGAUUGGUUUUCCAAACCAUGAAUCAAUAUCAGCAGAAAGCCUAUUCAAGAGGAGUCCAAGGCAAUGUUAUACCUGAAUGCUCUUCACUGCAGGCUUAUUAAGAAGCCUGAGUCUCCUGUCAAUGUCAUCCUCGUUCUCUGAAGCCUCUCUGUUCAUCGAUUUUCUCGAUACACUAUUAGCCAUUGUGGCACAACACAAUGUCAUAGCCAAGAGAAGCAUAAAUCCCACUUUCUCCAUUGUUCCUUUUGCUUCUCAGCUGGAAAAUCACUAAAGGGGAAGGGAUUAUAAAGGAUUGAGAUAACACAAAAAAGGGAAUGUUCAAAAGAAUGCAAUGUUUAUCCAAGAAAGGCAAAAACCUUGCAAAAUCCCGAUUCGCCACUGUAAUUGCUCACUGGCCAUAUUUGCUUCGGUUAAAAACAGGAAGUACUCAACUGCCAACCUAAAGCCACAUCGAAGGAAAAGAAAAGGGUAUCCUGAUCAGUUUAACUGAAUUAAAGACAUGAUAAGAUUGAACUUUGAUUACUUCAGUUCACAUCAACACAUAAAUAAGGUCAACCUUUAUGACUUUUUCUGCCAAAUACCACUGUGUUCUUUUAGCAGAAGAAGAUCAGGGAUCUGAAGUAUAUAAUUCGAAUAUGGAAACUGCCAGCUAGUUAUACUUCAUAAAAGGCAUUGUGAUUGUGGUAUAAAAUUCAUGAGAUUUAUAUUUUGGACAAAUGAAGAGUCACCGAUACGUAUUUGUUAUUGUGUUCCGGCGUGGACUUCAUGCUUAACUUGAUGAGCGGGCUCCGGCCAGCUCCAGAGAAUACAAGCUUGAGCCAUGCCUCCAGGUUUACUUUAGCCCGCCGAUUGAUCAGGUCUAAAUUCUAAGACAUGUAAGAAAGGCUUUCGAUUUGGUGAAAAAUAAACGGAAACAUUGAUGCUGCUUUUUCUUUAAACUCCGUUCUUAACAUCUGCCAUAUGAGGAUCAGGCUGAAAAGCAAGAAACAAGCAGCCGCGAUGUCUAAUCAGGGGCACAACUCAAUCCGUCCAGGACCUCCAAAAUAAAACUCAGGAUGUCCAAUAUAAUCCCCAUGAAGAGAUAAAGUUUUUGGGGAUUUUCGCAUCACAUCUACGCUGUCGAUGGUACAAUGUUACUUUAAAAAUGUUAACCAGAACUCAAAGGUUAACGAAACCCAAAAAUGAAUAAUAAAUCCACAUAAUAAGGGUCAUUAAGUGCAAUUAUGAUUCUGCAAAACUUCCUCUCUGUGUUAAAUAUGAAUUACCAACAAAAAAAAAAUCCCAACAAUGCAAAUUUGUAAAAUAUGGUAGACAAAGCUAUUCAAUUUUAAUGACACAAACUUAGACACAAUCGAGCACACAAAUACCAGUGUUACCUUGUAACAAGAUCUGGUCUGGCUUGAAAUCAAAUAUCAUCACAUGUAGUUUCAGUAAAUAAAACUCAAAAUAUAGAUUGAUGCCAAAUCAACUAAGGGGCAAAUCAACUAAUGUCAAAUUGAUGGAAAAUCUCGUUAGUUCUUUGGACAUCCAGCAUAGGACACAUCACAAGGAAAUUCAAUUUGCAUCAACUUUAUUGACUAAUUACAAAUAAUAACCUAGAGAUUAACACAUCACGAUCUUCUAUCUCUUCACUUGACAGUCAGCACAUGAAUUAGAGCGAUGAUUAACAUAGUAAUUUUCUUUUUUGGAGUGAACUGAUCCAAUAGAAAAUGAUGAAAGAAAAAAACAAUGCGUAGAGUGAGAGUUGUACCUUUGAUCUCACAAUGACUAAGCUAAAGGAGAGUAACCCUAUUCACAAACUACAUAGAGACGGGUCAAAGAGUCGAACUCAUACUCGACAUUCAAGCACGUCAAAGUCCUUCAAAUCAGUCCACUUUCUUAAUUUCAAUUAACAUGACAAAAACAUCCACAGCGUCAUCAAAGCAUGGUCUAUUAGCAAAAAUAAGAAUUCGGUAUAACAACAAAACAGAACGUACCAAAGCUCAAUUAAACGACACACAUGGUAACACUGAUGGUGGCAGCGACGACUGGAGCGGCGGAAUUAGAGGCAUCAAUUGUGGCAAUGGCUACAACAGUGGUACCGGCAACAAUUUCAGUUUGAGAAUCAAUAAGGCUAUUAUCCUUAAAAUUGUUGGAAAAAUGUUAGGUAAUACGAAAACAUAAGAACCAUUGGAAAUCCUUUAUUAAAAUAUGAUAAAAUAAAGUCAAUAGUUUGAGGCUUGCAAGUAUUGUCUUUAAGGAUGAUUCCAUCCCUUGGAAUACGAAACUUGGUGCGAUAGGUUCUAGCGACUAUUCUCCCAAGACACAAUGGGCAUUAUUCCAUAAUCCACAUUGAAUAUUAGAAGGAACAGAACAAUGUUGUUCUCCUUUUAAUACAGUAUCUCCCUUUUGACUGUGUUUUGAAGUUUUACUUUUAUAUUCAAAUAAAAGAGAGCAGUUAGGAAACCAUUAUAAAUAAAAUGGUAAUUAUUGAAGAAGAUAACCGCUGCAUAGACUUAUAAAAUAAUUAAGAGUUUACAAAGAAAUAAAUAAAAUGAUAUCAAGCCGUUAUAUGGCCAUUGCAAAACCAACGCAAAUUCAUUACACAAUGGUGACUUUCAUGGUGGUCAUAAAUAUUUCAAAACUGAAAUAUCCAACACUUGUGUUUGAUAUGAAAAUGGGCCCUUGGGGUUACUCUCAGUCAUUGGACGCCAAUUCUGCAACAUCUGAAUUUAUCUAACAUACUAAGCAGAGAAAAGGAUGAGUUGCUCAGAUCAAAUUCCAAGCAAAUAAAGACAGUGAGUUGCAGGUAAGCACAGCUAGCAGUCUAAACGAGAAACCACCAGAGGGACUUGGGUAUGUAUAAUCCUCAGAGGGGAAAGAAGCGCUCCCACUUUUUCCUGGUGCUCCAGUGGUUUCUAAACGGGACAUCAGCUUCGCUGGGCAGACCAGCCAACAAGAGUUAUUAGAAGUGUGCCUCACAACGCUAGAUCUGCAACCGAGCCGGUGGCUCAUCUAUUCAGGUCUAUAUUAGAAGAGACGAGACAGUUCGACUCCGUUUAGGGCCUCGGCUAAGUAUGUUUGUCGCUCACAAAGUCGUAAACUCAGAAACUCAUUCGAGAUCUGAGUGUGAAAGUUUCUGUAUCAGUGUUCCAUUUAUCUUUUGGUCAUUGUAGAUUGGUUUAUGUAUAGUAGCUAGUCCUAUAUGGAAGUUCAUCACCAUAUUACAUAUUUCAUCUCGGUGUAAGUCGCUGAAGGUGUCUUUUGAUAAAGGCAAGGCAAACUUUGCUCCAGUGAAUUGGCGUCCUAUGUAUCGCUAUAAUGUAACUUCCAAUUGAAGAGCCAUCUUGUAUUUUGGUAUGUUGUAUCAGUAAUUUCAUCAUUUUCUUUACUAAGGGAGUUGAAAAGCUUGUGACUAUUGGGUGUGGCAAAUUCACUGUGUAUAAUGCAUGCGAUGACCUGUGAGAAUGGAUCAUCUUCGGCAUGUCCUCGCUCGGUGCGCUUAAGUGAAUCUGUGACUUUUGAGCAGUUCUUUGUUCUCGACGUUUUAGUGAUGCUUGAUGAAGGAACUUUGGAUCUAUGGUAUUUGUCAUCUCUGGGGAGUUGAAAGGGCAUCUAUAAUGGCAAGCUGUUUUGCUUUUACCAAAGGGGAGUUCAAAAUCUUGUGACUACAAAUGAAAUUCUCUGAAAGGAAAUUUUGUCUGCAAUACUGGCAUGACAUUCACAUCACUCAUGGACAGAAAUUAUUUUGUCCCGGCCCGCCAAAGUAGAAAACAGGCUCAUCGACGGGCGUAUCUCUAUGGUUGUUUCCAUUGUAGCAAUACACUUCAUCAUUGUAAACCUGAACCAUUCCAGGGUACUUGAGUGAAAGUGAGUAGUCCAUAAUCCUAACAUGGUUGAUGUAGCAGGCAUGGCCAUGGAGUGCCUCUGAGUACUUCCCACUUCCCAUGGCAGUUCUGGUGUGAGGAGACUUCUUCACCAUCGUACUGUACACUUGACCUCCCCAAUUGACCAUUAUGGCGCUGGUCUUCAAGGCAGAGAAAAGAGAUGCUGGAAAAUACCCGAUGACCAGGUUGUUCGUGAGGCGUAGCCACCAGUUGGAAGUGUGUGGAUCCUAGUUCAGUGAUAAUUAUCUCAGCUCAAAAAUACUAUUUCCAAAAAAGAGAACUUACAACUUUUUAAGUAAAACCUGAAUCAAUGGGUGAACCCAAUUCAGAUGAAAUUGUAAAAUAAGUGGAGUGGUUUAGCCGGUUUUGACACAUUUGGGAAGUUUAAUGUCACUCGGCUUUUUUGUGGUCACGCCCAAUGGGCAAAUCACUCUACAACUAGGCCGCUCAAGCAAGGAUUUGCCAAUCAGGUUUACCGCAAGUAGAGAAGGCAAAUUGAGAACGUAAGUACCAUGAACAUGCCGACUGAUAUCUGAUAUUGUGCCCGUUCAGAAGAAAUCGGGCUCAGAGCAGAGCCAAGGGCCACCUCGGUACUAGUUUGAACGAACCCAGAACAAGUCAAAUCGAAGCAGCCUGUGGCGACGCUUCCAUCAACCUGAGUAAAAAAGAAAUUGAAAAACAGAAUCAGUUAAAGAUUCAGUUCCGCCCAAAAGAAAUGGUCUAUAAUGAUGGCAGAGUACUCACUGUCCAAUGCGUGAAAAGUCGAGUUUUCUUAUCUCCAUAUAACUUUGGGUUCACCUGAGAAUAGGAAAAAAAUUUUGAGCCAUCUCAACAGAACCAAAAACUAACGUGCUAAAAGUAAAAGAGGCCUUGACUAAAACUGAAAGACAGACCAUCCAUCCUGAUUCAACACUUUCGAACUUAUUGCCGGGGCCAGCCAGAAGCCAUAUCUGGGCUGUAGUGAAGUCAUCUGGCAAAUCAACGUUUGGAUUCCAGACAUUUAUAUCGCCGGAAGCUCCAAUGUAGUGGUACCCUGCUGUCAAAAGGAUUGCUUGCUGCCCAAGAAACAUGGUGAAAUGGUAUUACUAGACACUGAACGUGUGAGGGAACAAGUUUCUAUCAGCAAAAUAAAGUGAUCAUGGGGUGCUGAAUUCAGUCGAAGAAAUGCUUACAGAACGAUCUUUUUGAUAAGGUAGAGAGACUUGGGUUCCAUUUAUGACCACGUUCCGACCAUUUUCAUCGAGGGUUGAAUUUGCCACUUGGUCCUGAGAAUGAGGAUGAUACAUUUUCCCAAAUUUCUCGAGACUAGAAGCUCUCAACAAGUCUUGCCGCCGGAUACGUCGGAUGGGAAUAGUUCCCUCAGGACAACUUCCACUCUUUUGCCAGGUCUGAGAUAUUGCUGGUUUUGUGUACUUAAUUUUUGUUGAUUUGGUUUCUGAAGGCAGUGUAAUGCUGGGUUUCAUCUGCAUUUGAAGGAAUAAUAGUACAUAAGGUUUCAAGAAAUACUCCAAAAUAUAUAUAUAUAUAUAUAUAUAUAUAUAUAUAUAUAUAUAUAUAUAUAUAUAUAUCAGCCUGCUUUCCGUAUAUAAGAUCAAAACUUGCAAUCCACUAAUUUGAUUUCUCGAGAUAGCCAGUUCAAUUCAAAUAUAAGCUAUUUAGAAUUUAUCAGACUAGAAUAAUGUUGUGAUCAAAAUGUCAAUUGUAAGUAAGAAAGCUAAAGUUAGGAAACGGACCUGAAUCACAUGGUUUUUCAGCGCAGGAUGGUCGAAGGCUGGUUGUUUAUGCAUGUCAACACAGUCGAUGAUAUCUCCGUCCACGCUCUAUCAAUCAAACAGAACCCGGAAUUAGUCUAUAACUGAAUUUGUUGGAAUUUGGAAGUGGACAAGCUUUCAUUAAUUAUGUCCAUUAAGUAGCUAACAAACAAAUAGCUGUCUGAAACGUCACUUUUCUGUUGUGUCUGAGUGAGUAGGUGCGUGAGAGAGAGAGAGAGAGAGAGAGAGAGAGAGAGAGAGAGAGAACAACUUUUCUGAAAGAACUCAAAUUCCCACUGCAUCCUCUACUUAUCUACUCGAACCAAAGGAUGAGUACUGUAGAUUUGAUUUCCGCAAAAAGAUGGGUGCAUGAUCUGCAGUAAGACUCAAAAAAUGUGGUCACUCUUUCUUGAAAUGGCUCCUCGAAAACACCCGGGUUGCACUCAUCAGGCCCAGAGAGAAUUCAGAACUAAAUUACACGGGUUUCAUACCAAAAGCAAAUAUUCAAGGACGGCCGUGGAUCUGAGUUUCAUUACAUUGUUAUAUGAAGAGACACCACAGAUGACCGGAAGAUCGAAGACUCACGAGAUAUUAGUGUAAGCUGAAUGCAGAAUAGCUGAAAUCCUGAAAACGGGUCCGGAGAUCUUUGUUGCUCCCAAAACAAAAGAAGUCCUUUUCAGGCCAAAAGAUUAUCAAAAGGGUGGUAAAAGCUAGCGUCUCACAGAUUGGUUCUUCAAACCAUGAAUGAAUACCAGCAGAAAGCCUAUUCAAGAGGAGUUGAAGGCAAUGCGAUACCUGAAUGCUCUUCACUGCAGGCUUAUUAAGAAGCUUGAGUCUCCUAUCAAUGUCAUCCUCCUCCUCCGAAGCCUCUCUAUCUAUUGAUUUUCUUGAUACACUAUUAGCCAAUGUGGCCCAACACAAUAUCAUAGCCAAAAAAAGCAUAAAGCCCACUUUCUCCAUUGUUCCUUCUGCUUCUCCACAUGAAAAUGUCUGAAGUGGAAGGGAUUAAGAAGGAAUGAAAUAACAGAGUACACUAGCGAUUUAAAUGGGGGCCCUGGCGAUGGGUUGCUGGGCUAGUCUCCUCCGAGGUAUAGGGGCCCGACCCUCAAGAGCCUUUCGGGCACGGGGGGCGUGGUGGAGUCCUCGGUUACCAAAAAAUAAAUAAAUAAUAACACAAUAUAGUGAAUAUUCAAAAGGGCUUUGCUAACAUAAUAAUCCUUAGACCACUGUCCUUUUGGUCUAAAAUAGACUAUCAUUCUCACAGUACAUAAAGAUUGUAAUGUAAUCAUUUCUCCUUUCUGUGCAAAAUACCAUUGUAUUCUUUACAGAUGCACCAGAAACUGACCGCAAAUAAUCUGCACUGCAAGAAAAUUUGCCGAGCAUGCUGAUUAAGAGCUUGAGUUUUUUCUUAGCAGAAGAAGAUAAGGGAUCUGAAGUAUAAUUUGAAUAAGGAAACUGCCAGCUUGUUAAACUUCAAUAAAGGCACUGUGAUUAUGGUAUAAAAUCCACAAGAUUAAUUUUUUGGAAAAAUCAGGCUUCACACAUACAAAUUGUUACUGUGUUCUAGCCUGGACUUCAUGCUUAACUUGGUGAGCGGGCUAGGGCCAGCUCCAGAGAAUACAAGAUUGAACCAUGCCUCCAGGUUUAGUUUAAACCUCCGAUUGAUCAGGUCUGAAAUUCUAAGACAUGUGAGAAAGGCUUUCAAUCGGUGACAAAUAAACGGAAAAAUAAAUGUUCCUUUUUCUUCAAACUCUGCUCAUAACAUCUGCUAAAUGAGGAUCAGGCUGAAACACAAGAAACUUGCAGCUGCCAUGUCUAGUCAGGGGCACAACUCAUUCCUUCCAGGACCUCCAAAAUAAAACUCAGGAUCUUCAAUAUAAUCCCCAAGGUAUCUCACAUCGUAACACCUAUACUCAUCUGUGUAGUGGUCAAUCUGUUCCGGGAACUUCAGGAUCAUUGAGUUAUCACGGACCCGUAUCCUCUUCACGUAUCCACUCGAUUCUUCAAGGAUGGGGAACUGCCCGCUGCCCAUCUGUGUCGAGGUGUGGGGCGUAAAUCCCCCAAUUCUCGAGCUAUACACUUCGCCUCCCCACUGCACAGUUUGUGCAGUUUGAGGUAGGUAGGCGAAUAGCUCAGGCGGGAAGUAACCAACAUUCGUCUUUUCAUUAUAUUGAACCCACCAGUUGCCAGUGCUUGGAUCCUGAAAUCGCACAGAGAAGUCGUUACCAAUGACUUUCAAUUCAUCAGAAAAGCUAAAUGUGACUGGUUUGUGAAUUCUCCAGAUAGUAUCUCGAUGUGGUCGUGGAUAAGCUAUCUCACCCUGAAGAGAUAAAGGGUUAUCUGAUAUGGAAGGCCGUCCGUUGUUGAGAUGGGAUGAAUGGCCGCGCCAAGGGCAACCUUGCUGCUUGUUUGAACAAAACCAGGGCAAGUGAGAUCAAAGCAGCCGGUUUUUUUACCUGAGUCAGCCUGAUACACGGAAGAGGAAGAUACAGCAUUGGUUUUGCUCUGUCGUACCCAAGAUAGGCCAAACAAAGAUCAAGUCAAGGUGUGAAUGGAAGUCCUCCUUAAUACUAUUGAAGAAAAAGAAAAUCCGUUGCAGUGACUGCCAUCGAGACCAGGCAUAUGUCAUGUUUAUCUAAAUGAAGAAUGAGUUCAGAUGAUGAGCUUACUGUCCAAUAUACAAAAAACCGAGUCUUCCGGUCGCCAUAGACCCCAGGAUUCACCUGAAAAGUUCGGAAUCAUUAGGAGUCGGGGCAGAAUUAAUUACCGGAAAGCAAUUGUCACAUGACUAUCACUAGGUUAAACUAAAUGAUGAAUUCAUUUUGUUAAGCGGCGACUUGCACAUACCGCCCAUCCAGAUUCGACACACUCAUAAUCUUGAAGAACGGCACUCUUUAGAGCAAUUUGAGAAGUGGUCCAUUCAUCAUCAUAUUCAACAUGCGGGUUGAAAACUUUAAUAUCUCCUUUGGCACCAGUGUAACUAUAACCUUCCGUGAUCAAUAUGGCCAUCUUGUAUACAGUACAACCAAUGUCAAAAACUUAAGUGUUGGCAUAUACCGUUAAUAUAAAUCACCCCAAAUAAAAAAGUGCGAAUGCAUACAUACAGAGUGAUUACUCUGAAGGAGGUUUUGAAUUUUAUUCUCAUCCAUCUCAGUGCCUCGAUGGGAAUUUUGAGCCUUCUUCCUUCCAUAGUCAACUGGCAAACUCGCUUUAGCCAUGUUAUUCUUCUGAAUUCUUCGAAUGGGUAUGGUCCCCUUGGGACAGCUUCCCUUUUUUCGCCACAGCUGUGAUGUCCUAAAUAUGGAGGAACUCGUGUCGAUUUUCGUGAAUGCUUCAGGCAUUCCAGUCGUCAUGAUAGACGGAUUGUCGCUCGGUGCCAUCUAAAUUAUGAGAAGCAAGCUUGAAACAUGAUGAGAGCUGUGUGAAUUUGUCACUACAUAAAGGUCACCAUUUGCUUCUUUGAAAUGAGAAAUGAUUAACAUCUCCCUCGUAUAUUUUAUGUCAAAGAUAUAAAGGAGGAGGAGGAAAGGGAAAAGGAAAAAGGGUAAAGAAAAGAGAAUAAAGUAACAAACUUUGAGUCCGACCUGAAUUGUGUGAUUCCUUAGGGCUGGAUGACGAAAAGCAGGCUGCUUAUAGAUAUCGAUGCAAUCAAUGAUGUCCCCAUCUUCACUCUACCGGCACAAAGAUAGUUGGUAGUCAAAGCCAGACUUUUCCGGCAAACAUCUUAAUGCAGAUGAUUUCAUUAUGCUCGCAUUUCUUUUACUUAGGCCUGAUUGCGAUCUUAAAGCAAACCAAUAGAGGACCGUGCGCAACAAAGUAUCAUUUAAGGCAAUAGCUGGUCCAAACUACAGAACUGAAACUAGGCCUGUUCUUCGUGAUCUUGGUUAAACAACUAAAAUCUCAUUUUCUGUCUCCUGUUUUGGUGCCUUUUGUAACAUAGUCAAGCUAUGGUCUUCUACUUCCAAAGUUUGGCUUUAUGUUUAACAAUCCUUCAUUAGCUGCUCCGUGAAAAGUAAUGAUGAAACUGAGAGGAGUAUGUGAAGUAACUGAUAUAGUAAGGGCCUAAAAAUACCUGAAUACUCUUUAUCGCAUGUCUUUUGAGCUGGUUUAUUUUUCCUUCAACUUCCAUAGUCUUCUUGGAUCGAGAAGUCGAUGCUCCAGCCACAGCCCUCAAACUGAUGCAAACAAUUGCCAGUGUAAUGCAGACCCUUUUCACAUUGAGAACAGAAGAGAGCAGUCCGUUGCCCAUUUUUACAAAUUUAUGUCUGAACUACUGAGUAAUGUGAAUAGAUUUUGAGGAAAACACAACAUGUCCAGGAAAGAGAUGCUAUUCUUUGUUGGUAAAAAGAAGGCAAUUGCUGGCAUGUGAUUGAACUACAUGCAGUAGCACAAAAUGCACAUGACUCACCUUCUUACCAUCCAAGUCUCAUGCAUUCAAACUUGUAGUUCUUUUUUCUCAUGGUAACACGCAAAUGCAGCAGAAAAUUUGCGUGAACUGCACACAGUUCAGUGAAGGAUCUCUGUAAACAUUGGCUCAUGAAAGAUAGACCAGCCAUUCGGGUCGAAACUAUCUCAUGGCCUCACCUGGACUUGCAAAGUGCGCAUGGCCAAUCAAAUCUCGAUGCAGACUGAAAACCGAAAUUUAAGCAUAGGUUUUGUAGCUCGCCAGCCCCCAUUACUGUCUUAUCCAUCAUCUGAUCUGACUUAGCCCUUCACAUAGCCCACUCAAGCGAAGCUAAACCAAAUUCUUUUCUAACCUAGACUACCGUGCUCAUGAACAAUUUCUUGUGUGAUGGCAUUCGAUUGUGCCGAGCCAGGCCAAGUCUCCUGCUCGAGUCAAACCUGAUGUAGCUCAGCCUCGAAUCGGCGUGCUCCCUGCAACUCGUGUGUUUAUAUACAGUCGAAAGACGGGACAGUCGAAUGGACUCUAGUGACUUUGAGAUUGGACUUCAUCAUCUUCUCCUAAGAUGUUAGCAAUGCGAAGCGUCUUCGAAUCGUAAAGUGGAAAGAGAGAACUGUAGCUUUUGCAAUGAAAGCGCCGUUAAUUUCCAUCGAACACAAGGAAUGCUCAACAGCUUUUACCAUAGAACUCGUUUAAACUUAGGAAUUCUCACAUGAUUGUCUACUACAGAGUUCGUUCAAUGCCUGACCAUCGUCAAAGCCAUCUUCCUGCAUAUCGAAUGCAAGUCCUUUGGUUUAACCGCUGUACAUGUAUUCUAUGGCAUUUUGUUAUGCAAUCUCACAAGGACGAGAGCUUUUGCAAAUCUUUUCUAUGUAAUUUGUAAGGUUCUCAUGUGUGACCAUGGUCCCUCCAUCCUAGGGUUGAAAUAAAGUGAUUCUAACGAACAAGAAAGAGAAUAUUCUCUCUUUUAUGGUAAAGGAUGAUUAGUAUUCUUACCUGAUGUCCUAUGUAUUGACCACGCGCAUAUAAUGUGAUGAUAACUUAAUCGAGGUCAAAAUCUAGGAUAUUGCAUAUUAUUUAAUAUAUAAGAGUCCAUCAAAGGAUAAAGAUACCACAUUAGGCGGUUUAUAAAUAAAAACCGUGCUUAAUUGAUCAUAUCUCAUGCGUGAACACGAGUGUUCUCAUGGAGACUCCGCCCAUGAGAAAAGGGGCUAGGUGAUUUAAGGGACAAUAACAAAAACAAGUCCAAAUCCUAUUAUACUUUCACCUUUUGCCGAUUUUGGCUAGCAUUGACAUUUCAUAUUUUUUUAUUUUUUAUAAUAUAUUUUCUCUUUUCUUUCUUUCUUUUUUUUUGGUGGAUUGAGGAUCGGCAAAGGUGGCUAGUUGACCCUCGUUGGCCACUAGGCAAGGGCUCAUGGGCCCUCACUUAGUCUGGACGAGGCCACGAUGCCCAAAUUAGGCAAGGUCGUUGCUUCCCUUGCCAAGAUCCUACAAGAGUUGGCCAGCAACAUUUGUCAAAUCCUGAGUAACAAAAAAAAAAGUAAAGAAAAGAAAAAAAAUUAUUAAAUAUUAAUUAAGAAUAUCAACAUUGGAUAUGCCAUAUAAGACAACUCACCACUUUUGGUCAACAUUGACAUCGACCUUUCUAUUAAUUUUUCAUUUUUAUAAUGCAUUUUUUCUUUUUUCUUUUUUUGUGGAUUGAGGAUCAAUAAGGGUGGUUAAUUGACCUUCACUGGCCACAAGGCAAGGGCUCAUGGGCCCUCACCUAGUCUGGACAGGGCCAUGAUUCCCAAAUUAGGUAAGAGUGUCAUGUCCCUCACUCAGAUCCUGCAAGAGUUGGCCGACGACCCUUUUUAGCCCCUUAGUAAAAAUAAGAGAGUAAAGAAAAGAAAAAAAAUCAUUAAAAUCUUAAUUAAGAAUAUCCACAUCAGUAUUAAUCAGGCCACAUAAGACAGCCGGUAUUUAUAUUAGUGAUUUUUAGCAAAAAUUGGCCAGAUAAAUUCAGUUGACAAGUUUUAGAGACUAAAUUACACAAUUAAAAUGCUUUAAGAUUGAAUUAGCAUUAGUACAAUAAAUUUAUAAUUUCUUGAAUAAUCUCAUGACACAUGACAUCCUAACACGACGCUAUAUGCAAAUCAAAGCGUAUCUUUUAUUGUCAAUUUGUGGAUCCAUCCAAGCUACCCUAUCCGGCCAGUUUCCUGGCUGAGCCCCUUCAUUUCCUUGUACCUGCCCCAGGGCUGGUUACUUGGGGAUUGGCAUCGCGAGAAUCCAAGGUGGCUACCCAAACCCUCAAAAGGAGGGUUGUGGUGGGUCAGCCAAGUGGGCCGGAAUCUUUUUCAAGGCCCAAUUCUCGACCUCUACCCGGCCUAUUUUUGGUGGUCAAAGCCUUUUAAAGUCUUGCUUAGGACAAAAACUACCCUAUAUGUCGUUUUUAUUUUUCUUGCCCUAUUCUCAAAACUUGUAUGGCCAUGGUGUCCAUUGUUGAUCUCCGAUUCCAUAUUUUUCGCACAAGAAAUAAUCAUGAAAAAAUGACGGUUGUACACAAACAUGAUGGAGAAGCAAAAAUUAAUGCAAUAGCUUAAUUUCCAGAGCUCACCAAGAUGUUGUAUCUCUUUCUUGUCUUUAUGAAUAAAACUCCAUUAUUUUUUGUCAAAAUAGAUAAUAAAGGCUCUUCACUCACUUUUGAACGCACACUCCAGACUGUAAAAAAACAGAAAAUCCAAGAAACAGUUGUCAUACCAUCAGAGCAACAAGUGAGAAAUAAUAUUCCUAAUACUCGCAUAAGAUCCAUCAAAUUCCACAAUUCGAAUGAAUAUCGACCGGUUGCGCUCGAUUACUCUUUCAACAUCUUAUGUUCAUGCGCCGUUUCAUCAUAUAUGAACAAUCUCAUGUUCCACUAUCUAUCCAACCUUACCCUUUCGUCUUAUUUCGUGAGAUUUCAUCAAUAGGGCCGUUCAGAAGCAUUGAUUAGACGAUCAAACUCGAAAAGUCCGCACCUUCCAAUACGUUUGACUUUGGCACAAUCACGCCACAUGCGGGGCUAAUGCUUUCCACGAUUGCAUCGUUCCAUCCUUAACUUCGUUCAACAGGUCGGGCAAAGACCCGUCGGGCACGACUGAAAUGUCUGGCCAAUCCCGUAAUCGCCGGUCCUUCCCUGUUGGAAUUGUCUUUCCCGACGUAGCCUAGUCCGAGGAAGGGAGAAGCGUCAAGAAGUUCGCCCACCACCGCGUCGUCAAAUCAACGAAAAAGCAAAAGCGACCCGACAAAGCAAAAGCUCCUCUCUCUCCCCCUGCGAAAUCGAACCCGCGGAGCUGCGCGAGAGCUCUCGGAAACCGAACUCCGAAUCCGACAUCAACGAGCCGGCAGUUUCCUCGCACACCCAUGUUCUCUCUGUCUCUCUCUCGACAACCUUUCUGUUGAACUCGGGCUUUCGAGUGGAGACCGACCCAACUUUGCCUAACAUCCUCGACUUCCUAUUUGACCCCGGAAACCAUGGCAUCCGUGUGAGCACUGUGCAAAGUUGUCUUCUUUCCGCUGAAUCUGGCGCAGUUUAGUGCGUGUAAAGCACCGGAUCGUCUGCCCAGGUUUGAUUCCCGAGCUUUUAGUCGAUUUUGGGCGACAAAAUCGAAUCUUGUUGAGUGCCCUUUUGGAAUUCUUGCCUUCUUUGUCUAGGGAAGGAAGGUGGUUCUGGGUUAUUUGCGUAGUUGGAUCUGUACUAGUGUCUGGUUAUAGAAAAAAACAGGGGCUUGCUUGUUUGUUAAAGUUGGCGAGACGGAGAUUUAUAGGAUGAUUGUCGGCAAUAUGAAUUCGAUGGAGUUUCGCGGUUUCGCGGGGUGUUUGUGGAUCUGAUGUUUUGCUGAAGAAUUUCGGUACAAGUGAUUUGAAGAUAUGCAAGGAAGGGCAGUAUCGUCAGAGGAAGGCAAGGAUCUUCCUGUGGCGAAUAGGACGAACCAAACGAAGGCGUUGCCUCUGAGAUUGCUUCAGUUAUUUGUGCUUUUUCUGUUAGUGUGUAUUGCAUUUUCAGGCAUUAGCAUAUACACUGUUCGGCGUUUUGGGAUUCAAAGCAUGGUGACGACUGCUAGGUCCAGUUUUCAGCCGUGCUAUGAAGAAGCCAACAGUUUAGACCGUUGGAUUCAGCCUCCGUCGGAUCUGCUUCAUAAUAUGUCCGAUAAAGAACUAUUUUGGAGAGCGACCCUUGUUCCUAAAAUCAAGAAGUAUCCAUUCAGAAGAGUUCCAAAAAUUGCUUUCAUGUUCUUGACCAAGGGUCCAUUGCCGCUGGCUCCUCUUUGGGAGAGGUUCUUCAAGGGCCAUGAGGGGCUUUAUUCGAUCUAUAUUCAUUCCCAUCCAUCAUUCCAUGCCCACUUUCAUCCUUGGUCGGUAUUUAACAGGAGACAAAUCCCAAGUCAGGUAUGAUCUCUUCUCGUCUGGUGUGUGCACCUGUAUGGAUCAUUUACUUACUUUUCCGAUAUUUCAGUUGUCUGCUCUUUGUGGUAUUUUAAAUAUAUCGAGCACCAGAACAGCUUCUUGGUCUGGGUUAUUUUGGUUUGGGUUCCUGUUUUGCUCUGGAGUAUUAGUUUUUUCAAGUGGAUGAUGGUCUUGUGGAAUUUCAGAACUCAAAUCUAUUUAACAAGGCACAAUCUCCUGUCAGCUAGGUUGAGAUUGAGGGCUGCAUUUAGGUGAUAGCAUACCACUGGUAGCUGCCAUUAUCAAAUAUGACUAGGGAAAUACAAUUUUGGGAUACAAGUCAAGUAUCGUGGCUAUCUUCCAUAUCUAACAUUGCCAUUGUUAUCAAAUAUUGCAUGUAGCGUUUGUUGUUCUCUGGAUGUGAACAUUGUCUGCUGGCUAGAAAAUACUUUAAUGCAGCCUGAGGCGCAGAUAAUGUGCGGAAUGUUUGAAUUGCAGUCGACUACUGGCCACAUAUGGAGUAGCAAUAUGGGACAUUGCAGUAGGAAUUUUGUUGGACUGAGAAUUUAAUUGUGGGGUCAAUAUCUUCAUGGUUAUGGAGUGUUCAUUUAAAAUUGCUGUUUUUAAAGUGUAAGAUAAAGGGAGAUGGUUGGAAUUGGUUUGGAUUGAUAGUUGUAGGUGGAGUCUUCUGUGCCUAGAUGGUUGAUACUCAACUCAAGGGAAUAUUUGUUACUCUGUUGAGUUCUGAGAGAUAACCAUGGCUCAUCCAUUAAUUACAUUAUGUGAAAAUAGUUGCUAACCUGUCAAUUGGGAUUAUCUGUAUGUUUCCAUAUUUGGAUUUUUCGUUUUGAUUUGAUCUUGCUGGAAAAUUUGUGCAGCAGACAGUGUAGACAGGUUUUGUUCCUCUUUUUCUCAUUCAUAUAAGUUGAUUUGCCAUUAGUGUUUUGGGAAUAUAAAGUGAGGAUGAUAAUUGCCGGUUGAACUAUGGCAGCGCCGGUUGUUCUAGGUUGGGCUUUCUUAUUUAGAGGACUUAUUCACUAUAUGAUGUUUUGGAAAAGAUAAAUACAAGGAUGUGCGUUUUGGAGUAUUUAUAUUGGAUGGUAAAUGCAAAGGAACAAAUUGUGCUGCAUUUGAUGGUUCCUUUGUGCUCUCUCUGCUUACAUGUGAACAGUUAGCAUGGGCAGCAAAUCAAAUAUUAGCAUUUUCAAUCAUGCUUUUGUGGUUACACUAAUCUUCUUGCAGGAGAGGACUGAGGACAGUUUUUUUACGCUCAUUUAUAGGUCAUACUUUUUUGCAUAGCUGUUCUAUUUAAUCUAAAUUUCUCUGUUCUAUUCAAUCUUCUCACGGUUUGCUUCUCUGUUCUUUUGUCCUUCAGGUGUCUGAGUGGGGCAGGAUGAGCAUGUGUGAUGCAGAGAAAAGACUCCUAGCCAACGCAUUGCUAGACAUAUCCAAUGAGCGGUUCAUUCUUCUUUCUGAAUCAUGCAUUCCGCUGUAUAACUUCAGCCUCAUCUAUCACUACAUUAUGAAGUCCGGAUAUAGCUUCAUGGGUGCAUUUGAUGAUCCCGGACCAUACGGGAGAGGACGCUACAAUUUGAAUAUGGCCCCCGAAGUGAACAUCUCUCAAUGGCGUAAAGGAUCACAAUGGUUCGAAAUCAACCGAAAGCUCGCGAUAAACAUUGUGGAAGAUGCUACUUAUCACCCGAAAUUUGAGACUUUCUGUAGGCCAGCGUGCUAUGUUGACGAGCACUAUUUCCCUACUAUGCUGACCAUCCAAGCAGGACAUCUCUUGGCCAAUAGAAGUAUCACGUGGGUGGACUGGUCGAGAGGUGGCGCUCAUCCCGCCACAUUUGGAAGGUCUGAUAUUACAGAAGAAUUUUUGCGGAGAAUAAGCAAGAACCAGCGUUGCACCUACAAUAAGCGAAACUCUUCAACGUGUUUUCUUUUCGCAAGAAAGUUUGCUCCGAGUGCGUUGCAUCCUCUCCUUGAAUUAGCUCCAAAGGUCCUCGGCUAUUAAGAGAUGCCAAAAAAAGAAAGCAUUUCAAAUUUGCCUUUAUACAUUCCAUGCGUUGGGUGGUGCUCGAAAUUGUUCGGGUCCCUAGUUUGCUUUCUUCGUUUGUACAUGAGGCAUAAUCAGAGGCACCGCCCGGACAAUAUAGUCUUGAUGUACAGAGAGGAGAGGCUAGCUUGUAGUUUUGACUUCAUAUUGAGAUUUGUGCUAAAAAUCGAGAAUUAUCGUUUCAAGAGUUGCUUCUUCUGCGCCAUCCUGCUUCUGCAAGAAUUGAGUCAUUUGCUCUGUUCUCUGCAGUGGGAGAGAUUUGAAAACUUGGGAUGUGAUUUUAGCGUUGUUGCCCGGUCGAUAUGGUUGUGGAAGACAGUUGUAGGGCAUUGACAACUCUCUGGCGUUCGAUUUAUUGUGCUAACCUUAGAUUGGCCGAAGUAGUUCUUACUCCACUGUGAAAUAUUACGAGGGAUACUUUGAAGUAUGCCCAAUUCAAUGUUGCCCUCUCAGAACCGUAUGAAACAAUGAAGCAGACACACCACGCUAUCAAGAAUGGGCUAAGACCAUCCCUCACAUCCUGGCAUGCCUCCAUCUCCACCCUGCACAAAAAAGCAUGAAGGGCAGAGGAAUGGGGGAGACACAGCAUGAACCGUGAAGGUGGAUGAAGCAAAUGGGCAAAUAGCUUCCUGAAUUGAGAGCACUAUGCUUGGCUCAGAGAGAGAGAGAGAGUGAGCAGAUGCCCAGAAUAAAGUCAUAUGUCAUGUGAUGUUUCAUUUGAUUUGACCCCAAUGGCAUGUGUGCCUGUUCUGGUGAGGGUGAAGAGAAAAGGCAUAUGCACAGACAUGCAAAUGAAGAUGGAUUCUUUCUGCUGAGGAACCCUCUAUCAUCGACCACAUCUUUUUGGCCUAUGCUUAUUCUGCACUCAUACAGCUGUGCCUGGUCUGCAAAUCUCACCCACCAAAGAAUGUCACACUUUCAUGAUAAUUGCAAAAAAUGGGGAGAAUAGAAUCUCAGCGAUGUGGGUUCAUGGUUGGACCACCCCAACCCCAAAAAAAGAAAUUGUGUAUCUCAGAGAGAGAGAGACAGAGACAGAGACAGAGAGACCAUAAAUAUUAAAAAAACAAAAAUGGGCAUUUUGGCAGUGCUCUCGCUCCUUCGUAGUUCCUUGUCAUCACCAUGAGUCUGGGUCAAGCAAUUGAUUUUUUCUUUUGCUUCCUUUUUGGGUCCUCAACUACACGGUUUUGGUAAAAGCUGCUUUCAGAUGCUUUCUUGCUUUUACUCUUGGUUUUGCAGUUGGAACAGGGCUUAAGGAUCAGAUGUUGCAAAAAUUGCAGUCCCGUGAUGAUUUAAACCCUCAUUCCAUGAAAGCCAGAAAAUAGGAAAAAAACGGAAAAGGAAAAAACAAAAGGCCUCAUCUCUUUCCUUGACUUGUCUAUUUUCUCAAAUUAAUCCGAUGACAUUAAGAAAGAUAUAAGCUUGCAUUUGUACAACCCUUGAUCCAAGAAAAGGUGGUGACGAGAAAGAAAACAAUCCAUAUUUGAUCACAUUCAUAAACUCAAAUCCUAAUCGUUUUAAAUCAAAUAAAUUUAAUGUUAUGAAUUGGCGAGGUGGAAAAAAUCUUACCAAAAAUAUAAUAUAUCUUUCUAUUGAUCGAGUCCAUUUAUUAAAAUUAGCUCUUUAGAAUGCGUCCACGCUAUAGCAACUCUUAAUUUUCGUUGCAUCCAACGUUUCAACGCACUAACAAUUACAUAGGUGACCGAACCUGAUCCGACCACUUCCGCGACCAGAAAAAACGACCCGCCGGAAGGUUUUGGAAACCGGGAAAUAACAGGGGUCUCCCUCCCUCCAGCACAUCGGAUCCGACCGUACACCUGUCACGUCGAUUUUUUUAUUAUUUUUCGAAAAAAAAAGAAAGAGUGGGGGCCAAAAGAAGGAAAAAGCCGGGAAAUCGAAGACGGACACGUGUCGGGCUCCUCUUGGCGUACAGAUUGGUGCACGUGGGGCCCCACGCCCCGGCCGAGGAACGAGCCAGGGCAUCUUCGCCGCACUCAUGGCAGCACGAUCGCGCGUGAUUUGCACGACACGCGAUGGCCGCUUACCUUCCGCACGCCGCCCCCCUCCCCCCCCCGGGGGGGGGAAAUCAAGCCCCACUCGCCGCGAUCCGGCGGUGUCCUCCACGCGCCGCGGCCGUCGGGGAGCGGCGCACGCGACCGGCCAUUCAUCUGGCACGGCGGCGCGUGAGGGGCUGCCGCCGCGAAACUGAAGGAGCCGGUCGCUUUCGUGGACCAGAUCCGAAGCGUCAAACGGGGCACGACGUCGCUUUUACGACCCGGACCGAGAAAAAAAAAAAAUAAAUUGCCAAUUAUUACUUUUCACCCCUCGCCCCACGCCAAAGACGACGACCCCCGUCGGUCGUUUUUACACCGUCCUCUUUCCCCACCGAGACGCGUUCUUGCGCUUCUCUUCCUCGACCCCGAAACGACGCAAGGCGACACGCGUUUUUCUUCCCCUUCCGAAAAAUCCCCGGCUGGGCCCCGCCAACAGAAAAACCACAGCUGUUGUACCAACGAAAUCGCCAGCUGUGCACCCCGGGCAGCUGCCCGUGCAGCCCGCUCUCUCUUUCUAUAUAUAUGGGCGCUCUGCACCAGCUUUGUUUUUACUCUGCCUACUCUCUUGCACUCGAAAACCCUAGCUCUCUCUCUGUCUCUCAAGCUCUCCUAACCUCUCUCAAACCUCGAGAUCGCGACAAUGGCGGCCGUGAAGUUCGCGAACGUGGCCGCGGUGGCCCUCCUCGUCGCCGCCAUGGCGGUCGCCGCGACCGCCCAGGAGGCGCCGGCGCCCAGCCCCGUCUCCCCGGCCAGCUCCGUCACCCCGUCCAUCCUCUCCGCCGGAGUGGCUGCCGUCGCGGCCCUCGUCUUCGGGUCAGCACUCAGGAUCUGAAGCGGCGCGCCGAUCUUCCGGAGCACGGGGACAGAGAUUUUUUCUAUAUAGUUUCCGGGUGUCUGCAGCACUCUAUUAUCACUAGUAGCCGUGGUAGGGAUGAUAUAUUUACGGUGGUUGUUCUGAUGUGGGUUUUCUCUCUAGGCGAUUUUUUUACUCGGUGGAUCCGGGAGUCCCUUCCUUCCUCCUUCGUUGGCGUCGCUGCUGUGUGUUCUUUUCCUGGUUUGAGAGUCUUUUGAGUCGAGUACAUACUCCUGGUGGUGCUUCUGCUUCUUAGUUAGAGAGAGUCUCGUGCACAGUCGUGAUGAUGUCAUAGAUCUAUUGCUUUAUCAUGUACCUCAGACAUAUAUAUUUCCACAUAUAUAUAUUAUUAUAAAUAACAGAUUCGUUUCAUGAAACUUCUCCUUCUUCUUCAUCCUCUUACUCAAUGUCGCGAUCUUGAUGCGUGUCGUCUGUCGAUGUGGUUAUGGCUUCGAAAAAAAAAGGGUAGAAUUCCACGGGAAAGGGACUUCCUUUCGGGAGUGGCGCUUGCGUGAGAACAGUGAAUGCUUCGUGGGUGCGUU
rnacentral:lncRNA from 1 species